rnacentral:lncRNA from 1 species
UGGGUACUAGGUCACUAUCUGAGCUGUAAAUUCAUCAGUGUUUUAAUAGUUAUCAAAUCAACAGUCUAUGGAUCACAAAAGUUCAGGCAUCCACUACACAAACUGCAGGGCUUCUAUUACCGUUAAAAGAAAUGAAACUUCCAUGCUAGAAGCAGCUUCCACGCAUCCCAAAAUUGUUUAUCUCAUAGAAUUAAGAAAUCAUCAAACAACUGUACUUUCUCAGGAUUUUCUUUUUACUCUUGUAUCACCUGUGCGGUCGAUCUGACAGAGGGAAGGUUAUUUUGCACACCUGUUUUUUCUGUUUUUUUUCAUCUUGUAUUGUAUUGCGAAAAGUACUCUCUUGAUAUCUUUGCACCAAACGAAAGACUAGUACUGUCACAAUUUGCUUUCUUUAACAAAUGGGCUAAUAGUUCUUGAUCUACACAAGGAAUCAAGUCAAACAUCAUUCAGGAAAUAAUUUGCAGCAGGAGUAAACUGCAAUAACAAUUGGGUACAGGAAAGCUGAAAUAUUAGAUAUAUAUCAUGUUCUGUGAGGACAUAACUACAGGCUUUACAAGUUUAAGAUUGCGGAAAUAUCGGGGAUGCAGGCAAGCAAAUUCAAACAAUAUGUCAAACAUUCUUGUGUUGCUCUGAGAAUUCCAAAGAGUAAAACGUCAGGGCAUCUUGAAAAUGGACACGCAAAAAUUUAGUUCUUCAGAAGCUCCGACUAAAAUUCACAGAAUCAGAUUCACAUCCACGUAUCUUCACAAAUUGAUCCCUCACCAGUUUUUUAACAUCAGAUUUAGCUUUUCGAGGUGAAUACCGAGAUUGCUUGUCCACACUUCAGGUGAAGAAAAUGUAGUCAGUAACCAAAAACAAAAGAAAGAGGUAGAGAGAUGGCAAGAAAGAGCAAGGCUUACCUUCGCGCCUUCUUCUUUUCUUUAUAUCUUGUCAUGUUAUUUUCUUUACAUUCUAAUUGUGCAUUCUCCAAAUCAGACAAGUUGCUGGAAAGUUGUUGUCUCUUAAAACUGGAACACGGUUCACUGUCCACACAUUCAGCACUGAGCUUUGAAAGAGAAAGGGACAAUGCUGAAUAAGACGGUUUAAUUGAAGGAUGUUCCUUGGUUGUAGUGAAGUCAGAAGAGCCAACAUCAUUGUCAACAUUAGCUGAAUAAGAGAUGCAAACUGAAGAAGAUGCUGAGACAUCCUGUAAUGGAUAAAGAGAGGCAAGGAGGAAAAAAUUAAAAAUGAAAAAAAAAGGGAUUAGCAUCCACUCCUGUCUUCGACCUUCGGCCCCAGAAUACCUGAUGACUAGAUCAAUACAACGGAUACCGCUCAAACAAUCAUUUGCAUAUACUAAAAAAAUAUGAUUGUGCCUGUCUGAUUGUGUUCAUUCAAUUCUACAGCUCUAAGAAAUACACAUUUUCUUUUUGUUUUUCUUUGAUAUUGUACUUUUUUCAACCCUCACAAAGUUCUGUACAACUUCAAAUCGACUGCACAUAAAUGCUUUGACAGCAUGUAUUGACAAAUGAUUUUUACUGUAAGCGGCUUUCUUGUCACUGACUUAUCUUCAUUAUUGUCGCUAAUUUUCAUUUAUUACAUCUAUAUGCAGCUUAGACACGUAGCCAUAUCUGUAAUUGUUCUGCUCAUUAUUUCUUACAUUCAUUAUCUGAAUAACAUAAUCUUUCUUUUUUUUUGACUCUCAAAACACUCUUAAGUUGUAUAUAAUUUCAUCCUCUUUGGACUUUACAAGGUGUACUUUUCUGUAUGUCAGCCUGGGGGAAGGAGAAGCAUCGCAGAGUACAAAAAAGGUGGAGAAUGAAAGCUACUACUUUAAAUGAAAGAAAAUUUCAACUGUCAAGUAGCAUAUCUAGUCUUCAAGAUGUAUUCUUGAUAAUUUUGUUAACAGGGAAUAAUCCUAAAUGAACUAUUUCCAUAUCACUGGAGUUUCUAUAUUCUGAUUCUGUAAGGAGGAUACGCUGAUAACGAGUCCAGACAAAAAUAAUUUGUACCUCAACUGAUCGUUCAUAACCAUUGUCUGAUUUAUUAAUAGACAUAUCCUUCUCUACAGAGGAGCAUGUCGUAUAAUUGUCAUCAAGCAGAGCUCUAGCUAGCUCUUGCUCGCCUCCAAAGAGCUCUUCGAUGUUUUUGAAUGUUGAAUCCACAUCAGGCAUGGUAAAAUCAUCAGAACAUCCUAGCUCAUCACAAACUCCUAGGUCUUGCAUAUUUUGAGUCCAAAGCUGCAAAUUUUAAGUUUAAGAAAAUGUACAUGGCGUUUGAAGAAUAAACAUGUAAUUCAUUGACAAUUAGCAUCAUGCUUUUGAUACUGUUGUAUCAUACUCAUUAACAAACUUAGUAACUAAACAGAAGUAUGAAUUGCAUUUUGGCAUCAUUAAAUUUGUUGAAAUGGAAAAUCAAGAACCAUAAGUUCAGCAACAUUCAGUUGUCAUUUGGAUGGACAAAAAAUUUGCGGGAAAAUGCUUAUCAUAUAAAACUAAAAGAAAACUUUGGAUCAGCUUUGUGGUGCCUGGACAUCCAUUUGAACUUCGUGUCCCAAAUGAAACACUAGUAUGGCAUUUAGUUCCACAAAUAAGUGACAUACUAACAAGGUCAUCAUGAAUAACUGAAGGUGGUAUAUGAUUAUGUUCAGAAGCUGUGAUAUAGGUAAUAAGCCACCAAAUCUGUCUCAUCAUGCAGCAGGAGAAAGGGAAGGCAUUAUUGGAGGUAAAUAAGCUACUAAAUCUGUCUCAUCCUAUAGCAGGAGAAAGAAAAGGGAAGGAUGGGAGGGAAACUAGAGUAGAAUGAGAAAGUACUAUGCUAUGAAGAAUGCAAACUAACGAUUUUCAUGCACUGCAUUAGGUUAUAAAUCUGAUUCUGGCACCUAAAAAUAUUAAAAAGAAGAAUACAUUAACUGGUCUUGCUUACCUUAAAUUUCUUAGUUUGCAAUGUGUAGUAACUUAAUUUUCCUAAAACUAGGACAUGUUGAUUUACAAAAGGUUUUUCUUAUUUUAUAAGAAAAAAAGUAUUGAUGUGUAAGAAGGACUGCAUUUUAUUGGAAAUAACUGAGAAUAUCCUUCUCUGUGAUAUAGUAAAAAGAGGCACUCCAGUGCACAUUAGUGUGGAGUGCGCAUUAGUUCCAUCAUGUUGAAUUCAUAUAUGAAACUGAAUUUACUUCUUAAGUCAUCUUAAUGACUCGAAAGAAAGAUAACAAAACCUGGCCACUCUGUACUGGACUUUUACACUGCCAGAAGGAGUCCCCGUCCAUCUGUGAGAAAGCAAGUUGAAAAGGUUCAGUAGUUGGAUUCUCGUGAUGACUGCCGUGAAGAUCAGAACCAAGAUCAAGAGCAUGCUGCAAAUGUUGAUCAAGAUUUUCAUGCAUCUUCCUUUUUGCGUGGAACUUAAAUGAAGACAUAUCAAUUUCCCCUUGGCUUCUCAUAAAAGAAAAUUUUCCAUCUCCCUGAGUCAGUUGAAGCCUUUUUAAGUCAUUAAUCUGUUCCAGUACAUGGAAAAUAUUCUUCCUGUGGACAGCAGCCUGCAAAGUUACACAUGUAAGUAAUCAAUCAGCCUACAUUCCUUCAUCAAUCCUAAGAAACAACAUGUAUAAAGCUUAUGUUAUCUUAUAUUAGCGUACCAAGCUCUCAAAAGUUUGAAGAAGGAUAAUGGUAAACCAACAGCAAGAAACAGAUAUUAUCUACAAUGGAGUAGUUAAUGUUGACAGCACUAAUCUUAUAAUGUUAAUCAAACUCUACUAAGGCAAACCAUGGUAUAACUUCGACCAAAAGCUAGGAAUAAGUAAUUUAUUUGGAAGCUGAAUCAUUUCAGCAGGAUGCAUAAAAUAGAUGUUAUGGCAUAACUGAAGUAAGAUGUACCUGUUUUCCAAAUAAAAUUUGAGCAGGAUAAAAAAGACAACUACAAAUUGAUCAUACUGAAGUAGUUAUACUUGUUAUCUCAUGGUUCACUUAGGAACUUUCUCAGAGAUACCACAUAAAUGUUUCAAUAAUCAGUUCAUACAAAUCUCGAGCAUUGGUUGGGGUCCAAUCUAACCUGGUAAAGAUGCAUGUAAGAUGCAUCUUUGUGUGGUACAGAGUAGUGAAGCGUGGACAGCAAUUAUAUUUAGUGAUAUUGCUGGUUGCACCACUCCUUUUUCUUUAGGAAAAUUUCUUUCCUGUGUCUCUUUUCUCUCCAAGCUAAAUAAAACCUCUUGGUUUGCAUCCCCUUAAUGUUACUCUUUUAGCAGGUAGAAUGAUUUCAGAAACCAUACAGUCCACAAACAAUGAAGAAUACUGCAAAGGGCUUGAGAAUGACCCCAGCAGCUGCACCAUGAAGGAGAAGAAAUUUGUUUGGGGAGCAAAGGUAAUGAAAUGCUUGCUCAGGCGUAGUGAAUGACAACCAUUUGACAUAAUUGAAUCAGCUGUUUCUUUGCUACGUGUUACUUUUUGAGCUAGGCAACAGAGAGGUCAUUUCAUUGUUGAAGUACCAUUAGAGGCAUAAAAAUAAUUGCAAAUCAUAGAUCAUGCAUACUGCAAAAUCAAACCAUAAAUUCAGGAAAAGUAUGAGAGGAGAAAAAGCAUCUCCUUUUGCAGCAGAAGAUAGUGACAACAAUUGACAUGACAUCAGAUGUAGGAGUGAACCAUCUUCUUUAGACUUUGCCCCUUCCUGAUUAUCAAAUAGGCUAGUAAAUUGUAUGAACUCUUUUUGAUUGGAAACUAUCACACAAGUAUGAAAACGGUCACUAUGUACUUUUCUCUUCAACAAAUAAGAAAGCUGUGCAAACUGAACUCAACAUGAAAUGCCUAAAUGCCAGUAACAAGUUUAAGGACCUAAAUUGACAUGAGCUUCUAUUCACAGUUGCCGCAUAUACCUUAGUGCCUUUGCCUCUUGAUCGGACUUUGGGUAACUUACUGGUGGUGGAAGCCACAUCAAAUACUGAUGAAAUGCCUGCCACUGAGCAAGACUGUCUUGAAUUGUUGAAAGUGAGCACCCCUGUACUUACUGCUGCACUUGACGUGGGAAGAGAUUGAUAUUCAGAUUUACUAUCAUUAUCCAAUUCAUUCAAGUCAAGACCCCAGAGUGCCGCAAAAUCUUUAGCAGAAGGGCAUCCUGUAUAACAACUCAUCACUUUUCUCUGGUGUUGGGAAGAGAGAUCAUGUUGGUUGCGGUCACAAGGGCGGCACAUAAACAUCUGAUGAUCUGAACACUGAACAUAAGAGGGGCGGUAUCUGCACGACUCACAAACAAUGGCGCGUGUAUGCCGGUUGGAAAGAGCAUUAGCUGAAUGAACCUUGGCAUCACAGGACAGGCAAAGAUGUGCUGCAUCUGCCUUACAGUACACAAUUGGUCUUAGGAUCAGACAGAAUUCACAAGUUUUUUCCAUCUCCAUGUCACCAGGGAAACAUAAUACGAACAGCUAACCGUUCACAUGCAUUCAAGUCCAAGAUAAACAGAAUUCUGCAGGAAUUCCUCCUAGAUCCAACCCCAACCAGCAAUCAAAAGCGACAAAACAGCAUAAGAAAGUCAAAUUUUCAUUUCAUAUCUUACCAAACACUAAUUUCAUCCUUCCAUCAAACGUUUAACAGGCGAAACAUAACUCAAAAGACUAUAGGAUAUAAAUUGCCACCGAGAGAUAGGAAAGAAAGAAAUGCCAUGCAAACAGAGCUAGAUCGAACUUAAGGUCACUGGUGAAGGAUUAAAGUAUUAUACCUUUGCAGAAUCAAGAUAAACUCACGAUUUUAUCAGGAUAUUACUUUAGACUCCAAGUCAUUAAGUACCACAGCAGUCUACUGCUCAAAUUCCAUAUCAGAAUCAAGUGAAUUUCACCAAAACACUACCUCCUCUUUCCAUCUUUGAUCAAAUACUACUAAUUGCAAAUGGGAUUUGCUUGAAAACAACGGAAACAACUCGAUUAGCUUGACUGGUUCAACUUCACUCAAGAAAGAGCUGCUAAACUUGACUUGCUAUAAACUAAAAUGAAAGGGCAAAAACUUUCAGGAAAUUCCACAAUCAACAACUUGAGUCUUGAGCAUUAACUGUAACCAACCAUUAACUAACCUCAACUUGCUCCUCAAGCAGUUGGACUCUCCUGAAUCAGAGCGGAAAACCCUUUUUUGUCAGCUGACAGAAACGAAAAAAGAGAGAAAACAGUUGAGCAGAAGUCACAGGAAUUAGCAUGUGUAGCAGAAUUCAUUCAUCAUCAGCAAUAGCUUUGAGCUUUGAGUUUUCUUUUUCUCUCUCUUUUUUUUUUUUUUUGGUUAACUUGUUGUCAACUUGUCAUCAUAUCAUAACAUUUGUUAUCUACUUUUUAUGGGUGGGUUCUCUAUCUUGAACUUUUUGGUAUGACGUGGCAGUUCAAGGGAGCAGGCUGUCCUACGUGGACAGAGACACGUAAGCUAUGUGUGGCCCCACUUGCGUUAUCUCUGUUGCAUGUUAAGUUCCUCGUGUGAUCCAACAGUUGGUUCCUCAAACCAAUGAAAAGGCGACACGUUAGUGCGCAGGUUAGAGAUGACGGCUGCUAAUAAAUAUGGAAAACUAACCUUAACGAGUUAAGGGAAGCUUCGUGUCCGAGGAAGUGGGACUUUUUUUUUUUUUUUUUUGGGUGGAAAGUGAAUGAUUCUUCACACAAAAUAAGAGAGAGACACAAAGCCUAGACGAUCUAAACGGCCCUUUAGAAAUUGAAACUUGGGCUCACUUGCAGCUAUUGCCCAACGAGAAGACCAUGGGCCAGUCUACGUGUUAUUAGAACAUCUGCAUUGGACUUAAACGUAAUAAAUCUGCCGACACCAUGCUCCAGGGUCUAUAUAUUUCUCAAUAGUCCUUCACGCAGAAGCCAUUGCUUCGAAUCCCAUCCGUCUCUCACUUCUUCCGUUCAACCCUCCCCAUGCAGGGUCUGCAGCUUCAAUAUUCUCCUGUUGCUCCACCGCCUCCUCCUCUUGCUUUGAGGAGGACGGCAUCCAAUUACCGUGCUUUGGUUUCAUUCGGAUGUAUUCGAAACUCAGGUAUUCGAUUCCAAGUAUUGCUUCGAGCUAUAUGCUUUAGAAUUCGCUUCCGUCUUUUUUUUUUUUUUUUUUUUUUUAAAUUUCUCCUAUUAUGCAUAGUCAUCUUUCUUUCUUUUUUUUUUGUUUGGUUUUCUUAGCCCUGCCGGUGCCUCGUACUUGGAUUAAAUCCACCACCCGCCGUUCUCUGUGUGUCAGUCGUGGUCGUGGUGUUCUAACUAGCCUCAGUUCAGGAAGCUCUUGUCCACCUUGUGACUCAGGGAACUCCUCCCCGUCUGGUACGUCUAGAUUUGCUAGUGUAAACUGCUUCAACAUAAUAACUAGCAUUAUAUCCUGUGCUAGGGAAUUACAAAUAGUUAAAAUAAUUCAAAAUUUUUUGAGCAAAAUAAAAAAAUAAUUUGGAAUAAAGUAUUUAGCAAUUUUAGUAUCAUAGAAAACUAUCUAAAAUCUUUACAAUUAUAUGCAAUUCAGUGAUUAAUUUUUGUAUUUUGUACAGCUCUUUGUAGUGUAGUUAUAUGUAGAAAAAGAAUUUGAUAGCGUUUUAUUUGUUUUUUAAAUUUUAAAGUGGUAAUGAAUGUAGUAGACAAUUGAAACUAUUGUGCAUUUUGCGGAAUCCUUCGUGAUUUGAAAAGAUAAAUUACACGGUAUGGACUAAAUUUUAGAAGAAAUUAAAAAUAAUUGUAAACUCUAUAAAACUAGUAAGGAAAGCUUCUGUAAGUUUUGAUUGUUGAAUGGCAUAUAGUGUAGAUAUAGAUAUGUAAAUAUUAAUGUUAUUUUUGUAGAAUUCGAAGCAAUCACUUUGAAAAGAAAUUAAUUUUCAUGAAAAAAUAAGAUAUACAAAAUAUAUUUGCAAUAGUGAAACUGAUUGUUUUUGUAUAAUUUAAAAGCAUGAUAUCCUUGUUUAAUCACUUUAUAAUAAGAUAAUUAGUACAACUCCUUAUUUAUAUAAAAGGGUUGAAGGAAAAAAAAUUUAUCACGUUUACAUUUAUAAGACUAUGCAUUGAUGUUUACAAGUUUAUUAUGUUAUUUGUUUAAAUUUAGAAUAUAUCUUGUAUAGAAAAACAUUUUUCAAAUGACAACAUAUGCCAUUUGUCAUUUGCAACUGAGGAUAAAAACAUUUUUAUCUAGGAAAAUUUAUUGAUAAGUUAUUUUUUUUUUCAUUAAAUUGAUAAGUUAGCUUAACAAAAUAUUUUUCUGCCAGGAAUAUAGGGAUAAACAUUUGAACCAAACAAACUAAUAACCGAUAGAUAACAUUAAUUGAAUUAAUUAAAGAAUAAAAUAAUUCAAAAUCCUUAAAAAAAUGACGCAUGUGAUAUUAUGAUUGGAACCCUUCUGGAGAUGUAGACUGGUAAAUAGUAUAUAGUAUCGAUAUUAAUAAUAACAAUCAUGUAUUUUUUUUAAAUACGGUUUAUGUACAUGUCACCCUUUUGAAGGUGAAAUCGAGCUGGAUCGGACAACUAAGAUUUACGAAUAUGUAUUGCCAAAAUUGGACGGUUUUGUAACACACAUGGUAAGUAUCUUGCCUUUAUUCUCAUUUGUAUUUUUAUGUCCUUUUUAUGGUUAUGUAAUUUAUUUUCUAUGUUGUCAAUAUUAAAGUACUCUAACUAGCAUUCUAAUGCUUUAAUAACAUAAGACAAAGUUGUAAAAAAUUACAAGCAAUUUUGCUUUUUGCAAAAAUUAUUUUAGAAUUCGAGUAAAAAAAAGUUUGAUUCGGUGUUGAAAUAAGAAAAUAUAGUAAAAGUUCACAAAUAUAAAUCCCUUCAAAGUUAGAUGGUAAGAAAAAUAAUGAAUUAGAAUAAGAAAAAAUUCUUACAAAAAAGGAAUAGUUGUUUAAGAAAUUAAUACUUGAAGAUUGAAAAUAUAAUAAAAUAUUUCUAAAAAAUAAUAAUAAAACUUGCCUCGGAGUAAAGGAUUUGGAAGAUCAUAGAAACAAAAGUCCGAUACAAUAAUAUUUCAGAUUGUGUUUAUACAAUGACUAUUUGAUUUUUUUCUUUUAUUGAUGUAUUUACCUUAGUAGGGCAAGAGGCUGGUAUGCCUUAGGAAAGAUUUAAAGAGGAAUGUCAAAGAAGAUGAUUAAUCAAUUGAUAAAUCACAUUUAGAGGGACAAGAUUAGUGAAAAUUUGUUUAAAAAGUAUAGAAAUAAUUGUUUAAGUCAUUAAUACCUAAAGAUUGAAAACAUAAUUAAAAAAAUCUCUAAAAAAUAAUAAUAAGACUUGCCUCGGAGUAAAGGAUUUUGGAGGUCAUAGAAACAAAGCUCUCUAAAACAAAUGGUAUUUCAAAUUGUGUUUAUACAAUGAUAGUUUGUCUUGUUACUGAUGUAAUACCUUAGUCAAUAGAGCAAGAGGUUGGUAUAACUUAGUAAAGUGUAUACCUGGCAAUUGGACAGGUUGGGCUGGUUUUAGGCGGGUUAAUAUUGGGUUUUCAUUUAAAUGGGUUACACCCAAUCCGCUUAACUUUAGAUUAGGUUAAUUUUGGGUUGGGUCAUAUUAGGUCAUCUCAAACCCAUGAUCCAAAUAUGACCCAAUAUAUCAAUUAACAGAUUUUGAUACAUAAACUCUCUCAAAUAUAUUUUCACAUAUAAAAAAAAAAUUUAAGUGGGUGCCCAACACAAAUACCCAAACAGCCUAAAAAAAGAUUUUAUGCUAAUAUUUUCACAAAGAAAGUAUGGUAAUUUUGGAUUUAUGUAGUUUUUACAUAUUGAGAAUACGGUUUAUAAAAACAAAAAUCUUUUAGCAUGAAUGAGUUAUGUGGUAUUAUUAAGCACCGAGGGCAUGAGUAGUUCUAAGUUAACAUUAAUGUCUCAAAAUUAAUUUCGAAUUUAAUAAUAUUCAAAUUCUUCAUAUUGAACAUUUUGAUGACGAUAAUAUAAAUGAAAAAAAGUCACAUUGUAGCUAAAUAUCUAACUCAUAAAUGCAAAUUAAUUUUUUUAUCACGAUGAAUCUUGGCAACUAUUCUAACACAUCUGGCCUUUUCCAUAUCUAGGAUAAUACCCACUACAAGAAAAAUGUCCUAUUAUGACAUACCUAUAAGGACACUUUUUUGUAAGUGUCAUUUUACAUGUUUUAUGAAGACAUAAAAAAGUGAGUGUCAUAAUAAAAUAACAUGAACCAAAUACCAUUGCACUUUGUUUUAUAUUUUUCUAAAGGGAUAAUUUCAGAAACCUCCCCUGAGGUUUCUGACAAUUUCACUGACCUCCCCUGAGGUUUCCACAAUUACACUGACCUCCCCUGGCAGAACUUGGGACCCAAUUGCUGACAUCAUAUAAUGCAAAAUUACUAUUAUACCCAAGACAUUUUGUGUUUUGGAUAGUAUUGGAUUGCAUUUCUAUUUAUUUAAUGUAUGGUUAUGAAAUUUGUAAUGAUAUUACUCUUGGAUUGCAGCUUUGGUUUGCACCUUAUUACUGUUAAGGUUUUAUAAAUGACUGUUUUAGUUCUUGGAUUGCACCUUACCUCCAAAAUUUGGGAAUUUGCCCAAAUUUUCCAUUUUCUAAUAUUCCUACAAAUAUGCAAAAUUAUGCAUAUCCCUCAAAUCUACCCAAUAUUAAUGUUUUGUUAAACUCUAAAUAACAAAAAUAUGAAAUAUAUUAUUUAAAUAUAUUUUAGUUACACACAAGUUGGAUGGGUAACUAGUGUGUCAGAGAGUUGCCAUAAUCUCCUUAAACCCGCAUGCGGGUUUAAAGAGUAUUCGGAUAUUCUCAUAUGCACUUAUGCAAAUCGAACCAAUCGGAUAUCUUAUCCGUAUCCCAUUUUUUUAAAUAAAAAUCUUAUAAAUUUGAAAAAUAAAAUCAAAUUUAGAUGUAUUAGGGUUUUAAAAAUAUUAUAUAAGUGAUAAAAAUUUUAUAAAUUGUAAAAAUAAAAUCAAAUUUAAAUAAUUAAAUGUUAUAUUUGCAUAAGAAAUAAUACAAUAAUCAUAAUAAUGAUAAUACAAUAAUAUUGAUGUAAUAAAACUGCCAUUAAUUUAAAUAUUUACUUAUAAUGCCCAAAGAGACUAAUUACCAAUUUUUUCUUCUCGCGCUCAAAUAUAACAUUAACCCGCAUGCGAGCUAACCUUGAAAUAGAAAAAACACAGAAUCCCGCUUGCGGGUUUCAGCGUUAUUAUGCAGGCGGGAUUUUAACCUGCUUGCUUGUGAACAUGUACCACAUUGCUUUGAAUUUUUGUGACAAGAGGAAAGCUUUGUCUGAUGAAUGUAUUUGUGAAAUGACCUGAGUGGUGGUAGAUGGGUUAAUUGGGUCGGUUGCGUUACCCAAUUGUUUAUAUCCAUAAGUAAAAUUUUAUGAUUCCCAUACCCAUCUAUUCAUGGGCGGUAUGGUAAAUGUAGUUCAAUGGACAAGUCAAAAAACGAGUUUGGCAACCCAAUUGACAAGUCAGGGGAGGUUUCUGAAAUUAUCCCUUUUCUAAAUUGAAAAUUUUGAUAUGUCAAAUUAGAAUAGCUAUUAGGGCAUUACUUGUGAAUGUCAGCAGAAGUAAUAGGAAAUUGAGAUAGAAACGACGUAGUUUUGUCACUGGUAUAAAUGAAAUGGAGAAAAAGCGCGGGGAAAAGAAAAAAAAAACGCGGCAAGGAAAAUUUUGCCGCUUCACUAAAGUUUGCCCAAUACAUUUCUCUUUGAAAGGUCUCCGCCUCUUACAAUUCACACCAAAAAGUUCCCUCAGUUUCUUCUCCAAAUCUAAACCCUUGGACCCUAUUCACAAAAUCCAUCAUCGUCAAAAUCAAUCUUCCAUUUCUGCCUCUUUUUUUCAUUCUUUAAUCCCUACCCUCUCUCUUUCUAUCUUGAGUUUUUAGAUGCACUCCAAUUUGACCAGAAGAAGAGAAGGAUGGUUUAGUGGUUAAAAGGUAAGUGUAUUAUGGGUUUUUGAAAAUCAUAUGCUUUGCCUGCCCACUGAAUUAUUUUCUCCCCUGUUGCUAGUUUGAUUUUUUUUUCUUUUUUUAAAAUCUGAUUUCUAUGUUGAGUAUUAAUAAUGUGAUGGAGAAAAACAUGGGGCAAUAUUAAAAGCAGUUGGCUGGUUGAUUGAAUGCUGGUUUUUUUUUGCUGGUAUCUUAUGUAAUGCCACAUAGAAUGUGUCCGCCUCCUUGUUUCGGCCUUGGGGCCAUCGACAGUACCAAUUCAGGACUCAGGAGGUAGUCCCAUUCUCCCACCGCGGCCGAUUGUUAAUAUUAAGCAAGACAAACCCAUCAAACCCUGCCGUGUGAUCUGGUAUUUGGCGACUAAGCCCGAUCGAUCAAUUGAGGCUUCCUUUUGCAAUCCUGUUGAAUUUCUAAGCACCUUUUGCAUUUACUUUAGCCUACUGAUUCUACAAAGUACUUUGGCAGUCAGGUAAUAAUACGCUGAUACAAAGUAUAAUAAAGUGUAUAAAAAUAGUGGUAGAGUUUUUUUUUUAAAUUCAAGUACAAAAGUGGAAGGGAAAGGGGAAAAAUGGAUGUCUGAGAAUUGAAUCAGGACAUUAUGAUUAUGUAGUUAAUGCUUCUCUCAACCGAAUUGGAACUUGGGAAUUGGUUUCUAUUCCUACGUUAGUGCAACUGGGCUGGCACAAAAUAUAGGAUAUAGAAUCCCAGGUGCUUUACUUCUAUUGACUAGUAACUACUAAGAAUGUCAAAGAUGGUGUACUGUUCAUGUCAUUUGGUUUCGGAAAAACAUGUAAAAUUUGGCAAAGUCAGAACUAGUGAAUUGGGAAAAAAGUUAACUGUUAGCAAUUGUUUGAGUUGUAGUUGAGUUUCCAAACUUGAUUCAUAUUAUGGUAAUAUGGCAAUUAAGUUUACCAAAAAAAUAAUUGGCACCAAUACAGAGGUUUCUAAAUUUUAACUUGUAAAGCAAAGUUGGUCCCUCAAACAUGAACAUAAAAUCUUUUUAUUUCUUGAGUUUAGAUAAAAUUCCUGCUAUCCCAAUGUUUUUUAUGAAAAUGUUAUUCAAUGAGAAUAAUUUGCAUUUGUGGUUUUCUAUUCACAUGGGGAAAAUGUGCAUGCCUUGGAUCAUUUUCAUGCAUAUGUUGGUGCAUUUAUAUAUGUACAUAGAGAAAGUAAGCUGAUGCCUUGUUCUGUUUGCUUCAUAAUAAUGUGCAUGCCUUGUUCUAUUUGCAUAGUAAGCUGAUGCAUUUAUAUAUGUUGGUGCAUUUAUAUUUUCAUGCCCUGUUCUGUUUGUUUCAGAAUAAUUAGGAAAAGUCAUUCAGCACUUUUGGUUCUUUCUCAUUUUUUUAAAAUAUUCUUCAAGAAAUUUGCAAGCUGAUGUUAUUUUUCUUCUUGAAUAAUUAGAGAAGUACGUACAGCACCUAUUCAAAAUAUUAAAAUUUUACUAAAGUUCAUUAAUGUUUCACCACAGGUUUGAAUUAAAGAUAGCUAUCUGUGAAAAGAAAUCAUUUUGAAGACGUUGCACAUUGAUUUCGCUAGAGGUACAAGCCAACUUAUAUUCUUGUGUUCUUUUUUAUUAGGAAUUAGAUUAAGUUACAUAUAUGAUAUUAAAUUUGUUCAUUUGUUUGAACCUGUAAUGUACGUUCAUUUUCAUCUUUUGGUCAUUUGGAUUCUUAAUUUUUUUUAAAACUGGAGUGUCAUUGCAGUAGAUAUAUUAUAUGACCUGCAAAUUUUAUUCUUAACAUUGAUUUGUGUAAAAAACUAUUUACUUGGUGACACGUGAUAAAUGGCUAGUAGCGGAAAACCUUUGGGGUUCUCAUGUCUUGUGCUUUUAUCUCAAACAGUGACCUUCUCGUUGACUUCCAAAUAGCUUCUUGGUAUCAUAAUAAUUUUUUGGUUGUAUGAGUGAUGCUCUUUGUUAAUAUUAUUCUUAAUUGCUUUCUUUUGCUUAUAUAUGUAUAUGUAUAUGUAUGUAUGUGUAUAUUUUAAGGUUAAAUUUGUCAUGGUUACAGAAUAUGGAUAAAACUUGGAUGCAAAAGAAUAGACGAAGCAAAGAAUAUUGGGAUGGUUUGCAAAAAUUCUUAGAUUAUGCAUUCCAGAAUUCAAGUAUAAAUGGGAUGAUAUUAUGUCCAUGUAAAGAAUGUAAGUGUGGUGUAUGUAUUACCAGGGAGAAUGCAGAACUUCAUUUGAAAGUUUAUGGUUUUGUUAAAGGAUACACCCAUUGGGCAGCUCAUGGAGAAUUUGUUUACUCUAGUGCACCAAAACCUACUUCCUAUGAUAUCUCACAUGGGGUACGGGAUGAACUUGAUGACAUGCAUGGUUUGGUUCAUGAUGCAAUGGGAAUUCCUGAACAAGAUUAUACAAGGAUAGAUGGAACUGAAUACAAAAGCCAAUUGCCCAAUGUAGAAGCUGAAAAGUUUUACAAUCUAAUUGAUAAUUCUAACAAAGAGCUUUACUCUGGAUGUAAAAGAUUCUCAAAACUUUCCUUUAUGAUUCGGUUGCUUCACCUCAAAUGCCUUGGUAAACUCAGCAACAAAAUUUUUGAUAUGUUACUUGAUUUGUUGAAAGAAGCCUUUCCAGAUGCAAUGGAUGGUUUGCCUAAGUCUUAUUAUGAAGCUGAAAAGUUAAUGAAGGAAUUAGGACUUGGGUAUGAUAAAUAUGAUGCAUGUCCGAAUGACUGCACUUUAUAUUGGGGGGUAGAUGCAAGAAGAAAGCAUUGUGAAACAUGUAAAGAAUCUAGAUGGGUUAAAUCUGAAAAUGAUCCGACUGGUGAGGGAAGAAAAAUACCGCAUAAGGUUUUAUGGCAUUUUCCCCUAAAACAUAGGUUACAACGCCUAUUUAUGUCCUCCAAAAUUGCAGGCCAUAUGAGAUGGCAUGCAGAAGGUCGUACUAAGGAUGGUAACAUGAGGCACCCUGCUGAUUCUCCAUCUUGGCAAACAUUUGACUUUCAUCAUCCAGAAUUUUCUCAAGAUUCUCGUAAUGUGAGGUUGGGCCUAGCAUCAGAUGGAUUUAACCCAUUCAAAAAUAUGAGUUCAACUCAUAGCACUUGGCCGGUAAUAUUGAUGCCAUAUAAUUUGCCGCCAUGGAUGUGUAUGAAACAAUCGAACUUUAUGUUGUCAUUGUUGAUACCCGGUCCAUUUGCACCAGGAAAUAAUAUUGAUAUAUAUUUAAAACCUCUCAUAGCAGAAUUAAAGGAAUUGUGGGAUGUUGGAGUGAAUACAUAUGAUGCAUCAAGAAAAGAAAACUUUCAACUUCGUGCAGCACUUUUAUGGACCAUCAGUGACUUUCCAGGUUAUGCAAUCCUCUCCGGAUGGAGCACUAAAGGAAAACUUGCAUGUCCUGUAUGCCAUAAAUACACAUCUUCACAGCAUCUGCAAAAUUGGGGAAAAUAUUGCUAUAUGGGGCAUCGAAGGUACUUGGAAAUGAACCAUCCAUUUCGCAAAGAUGCUAAAUCUUUCAAUGGAGCUGUAGAGUAUGGAAAACCACCAGGAAGGUUAAUGGGGUCUACAAUUUUAGAUGAGUUAGCUGGUUAUAGUAUUAAACUUGGGAAGACAGUUAGUGACAAUCCAGAAUUGCCAUUUAAUUGGAAAAAAUUAAGUAUUUUCUUUGAUUUGCCCUAUUGGAAAGACAAUAUGAUACGUCAUAAUCUUGACGUUAUGCACAUUGAGAAGAACAUCAGUGAGAUCAUUGUGGCUACAUUGUUGAAUCUGGAAAAAACCAAAGAUAAUAAAAAGUCACGUCUUGACCUUCGUGCUAUGGGUAUAAGAUCAGAAUUGCAUCCCAUUGAGAAGGGAAAUGGUAGGAGUGUUCUGCCUCCAGCUUGCUUUACAAUGAAAAAGAAGGAAAAGGAGAUAUUUUGCAAAGUUUUGAAAGGGAUAAAAGUUCCAGAUGGCUACGCAGCAAAUAUUUCUAGAUGUGUUAAAGUAAAGCCACCAAAAAUUUCUGGAUUAAAAAGUCAUGAUUACCAUAUUUUGAUGCAACAACUUCUCCCAAUAGCUCUGCGCAGGACUUUAUCAAAAGCAGUUCGCUCUCCUUUGAUCAAAUUGAGCAGGUAUUUUCGCAAGUUGUGCUCCAAAGUUUUGGAUCCAGCAGAUUUAGUUCAUUUGGAAAAAGAGAUUGGUAUCAUACUUUGUCAAUUAGAAAGGAUUUUUCCACCAUCCUUUUUUAAUGUGAUGGUACAUCUAGCUGUUCAUUUGGUUAGCGAAGCGAAAAUAGGAGGGCCUGUCCAUUACCGGUGAAUGUAUCCUAUAGAAAGGUACUCAUGAAAUAUUUAAGUGAAGUAUUUUGAAAAUUUUAGACAUUUUUUAUCAUUAACUUCAUCUCAAUAUUCUAAACCUGAAUUAAAACUUGCCUUGUCAAGGUAUUUAGGAACUUUGAAAUCCUACGUCCGAAAUAGAAGUCGACCAGAAGGCUGUAUUGCUGAAGGGUAUUUAGCUGAGGAAUGUUUGAAUUUUUGUUCCUUAUACCUAGCUGAUUAUGUUGAAACGAAGUUUAAUCGGACAAGUAGAAAUGAUGAUGUGGGCAACACCUCAAGUGAAGGCUUCGAUGUAUUUUCCAGUUCAUGUCGUCCAUUAGGAAAAGGAACUCCAACAAAUUUCAGCAAUGAAAUUUUGAGAAAAGCACAUCAAUAUGUGCUAUUUAAUUGCGACCACAUCAAGCCAUAUGUUGAGUAAGUAAAUUCCUUUCAAUUCAAAAAAUUAUAUAUGUUAAAUACUUAGUGAGUUUCUAUAUGCAGCCAACACCAUAAAAUGGUGGAGGAGCAAAAUCCAUGUGCUGGAAAACAUGUCAUUGAGCGUAUUCAUUGUGAGAACUUUGCAGAUUGGUUUUCGGACCAUGUAAGCUCAACAAUCUUACAGGUUCUAUUAUCUUUUUUUUUUAUGCAUAAAAGAAGAAAUUUGUCAUUGUUACAUUUUGUAUAUAAUAGGUUAAACAGAUUCAAGUGGCUGAUGGUGUUGACAUCUCCAAAGAUUUGAAACUUCUGGCUAGGGGUCCAAAUAAUGUGGGGAGAACAUAUCAAAAGAUUCUUGUCAAUGGCUUUCGCUUCCAUACAAGACAAUUAGAAUCUCAGAGGAAAACUCAGAAUAGUGGGGUUCUUGUCAAUGCAACAACAUCAAGCUUUUCGAGUACUAAAGAUAAUAAUCCAAUUUUAAGUGACUUGGCUUACUAUGGUAUUUUGACGAAUAUCCUUGAGUUAAAUUACACUGAAGGCCGAACUGUCACCUUAUUUGAAUGUGAUUGGAUAUCAAAAGGCAAAAGAUUAAAGCAAGAUGAGGAUGGAUUCACAUUGGCCAACUUCAAGAAUGUAAAGCCUCACCCUGAGCCAUAUGUGAUAGCAACCCAAGUUUCACAAGUUUUUUAUGUUGAAGACCCUUUAGCUGAAGGCUGGAGUGUUGUUGUUGCUACAUCUCCUAGGAAUGAGUUUAUGAUGGACCCCGUAUGUGAUAUUGAGAUGUAUUUGCAGAGCACAAUUACCUCAACAACUCAAAUGGACAAUGAGAAUGAAGACAUUCGAUGGGUUCGAGAAGAUGAUGGAGAUGAAAUACUCCACUAGCCUGAAUUGUUGAAAUGUUUGGUUUUUGCUAUUAAAACUGUAAAAGUUGUAACUAUAAACGUGGUUGCAAUUUCACAUGCAUUUUCUUGUAGAUGCAAAUUCAGAUUAACCUUGUUGUGCCUUUGCAUUUGUCUAUUUUAAAUUUUCUGUUUUAACUUACUUACUUGCACUUUAAAAUUGAUUUGUUAGUAGAUGAAAAUUUUCAGUCUAGUUGUAGCCUUUCUAUUAUCAUAUUCGUUUGAGAUUUUGCUAUCCUUUUUGUAUUUGUGUUCUUUUAUUUGUUAAAUGUUUUUAUUUGUAGGAAUGGCAAGGACUAAAAGACAGAAGAUUACCGGAAAUACACUUGUUGAUCAACACGAGGAUAUAGCUGAAAAUCAGAUUCACAUUGAGGAGCCUAACUCUACAGGUACAUCUCUAAUAAGUCAUGCCCAGUUCUGAUUUUCAUUCUUGAGAUUCAGUUUCAAAACUUUUAGUUCUACUAGUUUCUUUUGGUAAUGAAAUUCACCGGCGUCAUAUUUCAUGGUUAUAGAUGAAGAAAAUGCAGAUGAAAAUUCACAAAGAAAAACUAGAGGGCCAACAUAUAUGACAGAAAUAUGGGGUAAACCUAGUAGUUGUCAUCGGUACAAAGUUAGAUUUGAUAAGGAUGGUGAGCCUGUUGGCAAGAACAAGUCCAAAUUUACUGAGUUCUUAGGAACAAUAGCAAGAAAUGGAAAGUAUGCUCCUCUAGACGUGACAGAUUGGCGUGAAAUGACAAAUGAUAAGAAGCAAGACAUGCUUGUAUUGGUGAAGGUAAUGCACAUUUUGCUUGAUGCAAAUAUACAGCUGUACCCUUUAUAUGACAAAAAUAUGGAUCUAACUAUUUGAGGUGUUAUUGUAGGAAAAAUUUCGUCUUCCUCCAGGUGCAGAUUUUUGGACUUUGAAAUCAAUCGGCAAAAAAUGGAGAAAUUGGAAAUCAGCUUUAAAGGCAAAAUAUUACAAUCCAAAUGAAUCCAUUGAGAGUCAAAUUAACAAUAGGGAUCAGCGGAUCUUGAAAGAUCAGUGGAGAAAUCUUCUGGCUUACUGGAGCUUAGAGGAAACAAAGGUAUAACUGUUUUAACUAUUAAAUAUCAACCAUUAUGUUGAGAUUAUAAGUUUUCACUAUUUUUCUAUAAUUUCAGAAUACCAGCGAGAAGAAUAAGAUGAGUCGGGCUAAGAAAACAAUGAAUCAUAAGACAGGGAAGAAAUCGUAUGCUCAAAUUCGAAAGAAAUUGGUAAAUCUUUUAAACCUUUUAGUUUCAUUUAGUUUUUUCUUGUAUCACCUAGUGGUCUUAUGAAGACUUCAUUUUCUAUAGAUGAAAAAAUUAGGUCAUCUCCCAUCACGAGUUGAUAUGUUCGAACACUGUUAUACUGACUCAAACGGAAACCCGGGAAAUGAUGACGUUGCAGCUACAUUAGUAAGUUAUUAAUUGGUUGAUGAAAUUAGUACUCUAAAUGACUUAAAUUGAAUUUAGUAAUAUUGAAUUUUUUCUGGAUUUUAAAUACAGCAAGCUUUGAAGGAAAAAGUUAGCCAACUUCCCCCUGGUUCUAAUGAUGAUGUUGGUCGUAAUGAUGCAUUUGCCCAAGUAUUUGGGGAAGAUAACAAUGGGCGUGUGCGCAUGUAUGGUCUAGGUGUGACACCAUCAGACAAAUGGGGUAACGUACCUAGUCGCAGCACUUGUCAGCGUAUCGUUAUGGAGCAAAAGGCAGCAAUUUCUAAGAUGGAAGAUAAAUUUGCUGAGCAAGAUCAGCAGCUGAAAGACCAAGCCAAAGAACUUGCAGAGCUCAAAGCAAUGGUGUGUCAGCAGCAAAAUAGUGGCUCAAAAACUGGUGGCUCGAUAAAUUCAACGUCCUCUAAUCAUGUUUCAAAAUCUCCUAUGGGUGCUCGUUCUCUUCAGGUAUAUUCAUGAUUAUUUUUCAAGAAUUUAUUGUGAUUAUACCAUAUGAGGAUACUCACUUUUGUUGUUUGAAACUUGUUGAUUCAUUAAACUGCUAUUUUGUUUGGUUAUAUUGAAUAGUAAAACAUGGUAAUUUCAACUUAGUAAAGUCAUGGUUAUUAAGUUUUAUUGCUGAAAAUUGGAGAAAUGCUCAAAAUGCAGGGGAAACUCUACCAAAAUUUUUUAAAAAAUAAAUCUACCUAAUUCAAUUCUAUGACUUCAAAUUAUCUUGUAGGAAGGUGAUUGGGUGGAUAUUUUCAGCUUGUUUGAUCCAACAAAAUGUCUAGCUAUUGGUCGUCUCCAAGGAAUUGAUCCUUCUAAAGUUGUUGGUGGACAACCAUUAGGACCAUGUUGGUGUGAAAUACUAGUACAAAUCGUGAUGGAACGCAAUGAACAAUUGAUUAGGCCUUAUGGGCUAUUGCAAACAAUUGAAGAUGCACUUGGUGCACCGAUUGCUUGGCCACUGAAAUUGGUAUAAUUUGACACAAGAUUGUUCAAGUUUUUUUCUUUACAAAUAUUUGUAAGUUGGAUGGAUAAUGAAGUGGUGUUCUUACUUAAUCUACUAAUUUUAUAGGUGAAGAUUCAUGAGGAUUGACAGUAGCCUUUUGUUUGGAGAAGCAAGAGUUGGACAGCAGCCUUUUGUUAGAGAAGCAAGAGUUGGACAGCAGCCUUUUGUUUAGAGAAGCAAUACUAGUUUUUGAGUUAACUUCAAAUUUGUGGAAUAUUUUGUGUUCUUGAGAAUGUUGCUGGAUUCUAUUGCAAGAGUUGGAUGACAGCCUUUUGUUUAAAGAAGUAUUAAUGCUAGUUUUUGAAUUAACUUCAGAUUUGUGGAACUUUUUGCUUUAUUUAGGAUGUCACCAAUUUUUUACUUUCAAGCAGAUUUAUAUUCUUUGGCAUAGUGGUUGUCUUACAAUUGCAUAUUAUGUGUUUGGCGUAUUGUAUUAGGAGAUUAGAGUAGAAAAUUUAGAUGAAAAUUGCACAAAAAAAAGACAUCUAUUGAGGCACUUGCCAAUGCCUACAUUGAAACUAAUGCACCUAGUAAAACCACAUAUUGUGACACUUUUUGAGUGUUUGGAGAUUCCUUUUUACAAUGGUAGAAAAUGCCUUGAAAGACAGGUAAACACUACACUAUAAACUGCCUCCAUUAAUGUAUAUAAUGCACUUCAUUGUGCCUAGACAAUUACUUUUUGGCAACACGUAAAAGUGUCCUAAAAAGGGCAAAAAUGAUACCAAGUAAAGUGCUUUUAUAGGGCAUCUUUAGAGGCAUUGGUGUGUGCCUAUUUGCAAUUUCUAUCAUGGCAAUUGUGAAUGCAUCAAAUUCAUUAAACAUGACGUUAAAAAAUGCCUCCAACCUUUUCCAAACGGGUAGUUUAGUAGACAUUUGAUGUGUGCGCCUCAAUAGUCUAAGUGCCUCUAAAAGUUUCCUAUUGCAUCAUUUUGUUGCGCCUCCAAAUAUAAUUUUUCUUGUAGUGACCCUAUUAAGCAUGUAACCAAGGAAGUAAAAAUAGGCCAAGUAAAAAAAUUUUAACUUGCUUGGCGAAUUAUGUUAUAAUCACGAAAGAUGUUAAGAUUGUGUUGAUUAUUCACUUGAUUCAAUUAGCAAAAGUUGGGUAAUGGGUGCCCAAUACAAAUACCCAAACCGUCCAAAAUAUAUGUGAGUUUUUAUUACCCAAUCCAAAAUUGACUCAAUACCCAACUUACCCAACCCAACCUCUCAAAUUAGUGGGUGGGUUGUUGGGUUUUGGGUAUAAUUGCUAGGUCUAGUAAAGUUAUAAAGAUGAGUGUUAAAGGUAGUGGUUAAUUAAUUGAUACUAACAUCUAAAGGGACAAAAUGAGUGAAAUUUUGUUAAGUUAUUAUAAAUAGAUAUACUUAAAAUUGGCUUUUAAAAAGUUUUGGGGGCUCCUGCCCCUCUCCGCCCUCCCUUUGUCUGCGUCCUUGGUUUACACCUACUAUGACCUCAGAUUCCUAAGGCUUUUUGGGAAUCGGAUUAUAUAUUUGGUCUUCAUUAUGGAAGGUAGGGUUAUGGGUAAGAAAAAUACUCCCUCCGUCCCGUUUUGUUAGUCUUGGUUUUUUUUUCACACAAAUUAAGAAAGUGUAAUUAAUUUGGUUGGAAACAUAAAUUUAGAUUAAUAAUUUCCUAAAAUACCCUUAUGCUAAUCACGAGGAGUGCAUUGGAAAAACUCAAUGUAUUCAAUGUAGUGGGUUAGUAUUUAAUAACAAUGUAUUAAUAACAAGAUAUUUAAUAAGGAUAUUUUAGACAAUUUGAAAGAUUACUACAUUCCUUAAUGGGAAAGUGGACUAUAAUUUGGGACAGACAAAAAAGGAAAACAAGACUAUUAAAGUGGGACGGAGGGAGUAGUGAUGAUACAUCAUUGAUAAUCCUACUGAAAUUGUAAAGGCUCUAGCUUUUUUUGGGAAUUGGAUAGUAUAUUUGGUCUUCGUUAUGGAAGGUAGGGUUAUGGGUAAGACAAAAAUAGUGAUGAUACAUCAUUGAUACUGAAAUUGUAAAGGCUCUAACUUUUUUUUUUUUUUUUUAAUUUCAUUUCAAACUUAUAGUUCAUAAGAACUAAUGCACCUACACUCUAGUUCUAUUUGUUCGUUUAAUAUCUCUUUGGUUUCAUUGACGUAAUGAAUAUCCUUACAAAUUAGUACGUGUAUUCAAUACAUGUGGCAAACAGAACCCCACAUGCUUAAUAAAUUUGGCUUUCACGUAGUCGGAAAUUAUCUCUUCACAGCUCUUUCAACAAUUUUUUCUUCAACUGUAUUCAUUGCUAAUGAUGAUGCAGUUGGAGUCAAAGUGUAAUGGACAAUACUAGAAGUCAUGACUUGUUCCUAGUGCAGAUGGUACAAUUACUAGCCAUGCUUUGUAGAAUCCAUAAUUUCGAGAAAUUUUGGAGCCUUGAGAAAUGAGAUGAUAGAGUUUCAAGAGGUCAAAAAGUGAUCAGUAGUGAUGGAGGUGUGUGGUGGUGGUGAUUGGUAAGACAUGGAAGCGUGAAAUGGAGGAGUGUUCGAUUGGAUCAUGUGUUGUUUCCCCUUCCCGAUGGGAGGCUACGAGUGUGAAGUUUUGUGUGUUAUGAAUACAUGUUCUUGGGUUUAGGAGCCAAAUUACUUAAUUACACUUACAUGCAGAUUGGGUCGGAUAUAUUGGUAGAUAUAUGAGACCAGGAUUCACGUCGAAUCUACUAGAAAAUAACAUUUGAACAUGUUUUUUUUAUUCAAAAAAUCAAUUUGAUCAAAUGUCCAAAUUUUUUUCCCCCACAAUGCUUUUUGUUAAAAUAAAUUAUCAGAGGGAAAGUGCGUGGAAAAAAUAUUAAACGGGAAGUUAUCGAAGAAAAGUAAAAAGUAUAAUAGAUUAAAAAAAAAAGCUACGAUAUGAUUACUUUUGAAUAGAUAGAUUAGUGUAUCAUUUUGGAAUUCAUAAGAUUUGUCACUUAUAUCAUCUUUUUGGAUUUCAGGUUACGACUUGUUUCAUACUUUUCGCACUUUGGUUCUAUUUGCGAAUUGGGCUGCCCCUUCCAUUUGUCCCUAUAGGAAUAGUGAAGCUUGCUUAUAUAUCCCACUAUAUUCCAACAAUGAUGGUAUGUAUAUUUUUAUUUUAAUUAUUGUGAUUAGCAGCAAGCUAUCAUAUUUAAUAAUGAUUAACCUUUUUUAAUAGUGAUUAUGUAAAAUUUUUUUAGCAUAUUACUGUUGUUUGUCAUGUCAUAGAGGAUGGAUGACAUUUUAAUAAAAAUUACAAGCAUGAACAUGAAUUAAUUUGGCUGAAUAAUAUUUUGUGUGGUUGGCUAAUUUUGUUUGAUUUUGAAUCAAUAAUAAAAAUUUGCUUGAUUUUGUCUUGGUCUUCUUUGGUUUGCAGGGACUUUUGGCCUAUGUAGUGGUUGAUCGGGCUUAUGCUGAGCACCUGAAGAAUAACAAAGGACGAGGAAUAAGAAGAGGGGAAGCACCUGAAGAUCGAAUAAGAAAGGAUAAGGAACAAGUUGAAGGAAACUAGAAUACCAAAAGAAAUUACAUUCAUUUAACAUUUGUUCUGCGUGCAUUUAUUUUCAAACAGCUGAAAUCCACGUAUUGUUUAUUUCCCAAGGUCUUGUUCAAAGCUGAAGAAGACCAUUUAGGUUUUGUACUCUUGAAUGGGGUUUUGCUUCAUGGGAUUUUCGUCAAUUUCUUCUUAAAUAUGAAGGCAAGGCAUUAUGGUGAAUGUGAUUGGUGGAUACAAAAGCUUUGUGGUACUGGAAUAUACUAGAUUCGUGUACUUCUUCAUCAUUUAUCCGUACCAACUUUCUUCAGUAACGGAUGUUAUGCAGGACACAGUGGAGUUUUGAAAAGCUCUAGUUGUUCUGCAGUUGUAAUGAACGCAUAUCAUUUUGCGUGAUAAGAUGCUUUUUGCUUCCUACAAACAACAAAUUUUAAUUACUUUAAAUUAUGGUCCAUGGGCAGACUUUAGAUUACGGUUCAUGGUAACUUUAAUCAGAUCGAGCAAAGAUCUUCCAUAUCAGCCAUUUUCAUGUCUUCUUGUUACAGAAUUGCAGGUCACUAUGAAAUUUGUGUAUAUUUAACAGUACUCAAUUGCCUUUUUGCCUGACAGAAUAUCUUUUUUCAAGGUGCAAGCAUGAUGCUGAAAAUUUUAAAUUCUAUUAUUCUGUUUUACUUUUUUUUUUGAGCAUUUCGAGUACGACUUAACUGCUGCUGGCUUUGUGCAUCAGUAAAGUCUAUACAUGGCCAUACUCUGAUCUAACGUCUGAUGUAAGGUUUAGGUUUUCACAUAGUUAUGUUUGACCGUCAUCUGAUGAUCAAUUCUUCGUUCGUCAACUGAGAAUGAUGAUACUUCACUCCAGUUUUUCAUAAUUUGUUUCAUAGAGUCAUGAUGGUAGAUGCAAGAAGCUGAUUGAACAUCAUGAUCAAAAUUGUAUCGGCAAGCAUUUCUGUUGUUGACACUACAAUGGAUAUUAAGCUUUCAACUUUUUGAUUCACCUUGAAGUCACCUUGCAAUUGUGGCAAUUAAUCUAUUUAUAGGGUACCCUUUUAUUCCCUUGACCCAAGUAAAACUAGAGGUGUCAAAACGAGUGACUCGAGCGGGUUUGGACGGAUCAUAAUUGGGUAAUAGGUAUGAUUGGGCCAAAACAUUUAUACCCAUUUUUUUAUUCAUUCAAUAAAUGGAUCAAAAUUAGUCAAUUUAUUCAUACCCACACGUCCAGUUACUCAUUUAUGACUCGAUCACUUGAGAUUAUACUUAUUUUUAAAAUUAUUUUGCAUGUUUUUUGACAAAAAAGUAACGAUGUUUUGUUAUUAUUAGAUUACUAAAAAACUCAUAUUUGUCUGCUUAACAUUCAUUAAAAAUUAAGUUUAAAUGCAUAAUUAUUUUUAAAUAGAUAUAAAUGGAUGAAUCGAGUCAAUUCACUACCAACCAAUUAAAUGGGUUUAAUUAGAUAUGCAUUUAGACCCAUUCAAAAUUCAUCGCAUAUCCAAAUUCACUUAUUAGUGAGCAAAUUUGGGCGAAUUAACAUCAUUAGACUAUAGGUUGACACCUCUGGUUAAAAGACGAUGAAUGAGAAAGCAUAAUAAUCAGACUAUGCAGUUACCGAUUAGAAAUCAUUCCUACAAUUUUGUGAUGAGAAGAGUUCACUUGUAAAAAGAGCAGCUAUCAGAACAUGAGAUACCACCAUAAGUGUACAAUUCAAUAGUUCCUUCAGCUCUGAGAUACCACCAUAAGUGUACAAUUCAGUUCCAGUAGAAAUUUUUCUGCAGGGUAGCUGGCAGAAAGUAGAUGCUAAUGAGCAAAUACAAUUUUUCGUUCGAUUCCAUAGACAUUAGACAGUGCUAGACUUGGUACAAAGAACUGGUUCAAAGAAGAGGAUGGUUUACCUAAUUAUCGAAAGUACUUACUUUUGUAUAUUCAUUACAUCACUUGCCCAGUUAUUUACACAAUUAUAGCCCACUUGAGGAUUAUGGCAACUUCGAUCACGUUACAUAACAAGGUUGCUCGAUGUCAGUCAUGGUGCCCAAGCUUUAGCAAUGAUAUUCGAAAGUAGAAUCUGAAAGUCUGAAAUUAAUAAAUUUCUAAGUCUCAAAGUCUCGAGGGUGGCAUUAUAUCACCAGAUAGCUGACAAACUUUAAUGUUAAGUACUGCACAUUCUGUUCAUGACCAAUCGCGUCCACUUUAUUAUUAUUAUUGGAUUACCAUGGCCGAAAUUUGGAACAUGCAUGUCCACUAAAUUCGUUGUUUUUAAAACCCCCAAAAGGCAUCUUUUUUUUUAAUUUUUUUCCCCAAAAAGCGCCCUUAAACUAUAUAUAUAUUAGUCAUCAAGUGGAAGAUUUGACAUUAGUUUUGAAUAUUGAGAAGCCAAUGCAGUUUUUUUCUCCUAUGAUAUGGGUAGUUUAAUUGUUUUUAACUAGAGGUGGCAACAGUCAAACAAACGGUGGACUUGAGUUUAAUCGAUCUAGAGCUCUUACUUAUCAUACUCCGUUAUUGAGUCGAACUCAACUCUAAAGUAUUCUACUUGAAAGCUUGUCAAACAUUAUGUAUAUAAUCAACAGCCGUUGGAGAUGUUGGUCAAGGGUUUUUCAUGCCUCACCUAGCUAGUAGACCAAAAUUCGAACCUGAUUGCCGGGUUUGGAGGUAGGGUUGGGAGGAUUAAGGAAGGGUAAAGGUUAAAAAGAAAAAGCUUUAUAUAUACAAAUUUUUAAUUUUUUAUACUUGUUAACGUACCUAAAGGUCUGUACUCUUAGGACAAAUUGGAUGUUUGUCAUUUGAACUCAAGCAACUCGACUUGAGAUUGGCCUCACUCUCUAUCUCAAUUUGCAACUUCAAUAAGUUCGAGCCCAAUCUUGAGCUCUAGACAUUGUAUAUAAGUUGACGUCGGACUUCCAAAUUAGAUGUUCAUCGAGUUCGAGUUGAAAGAAACUAAUAUUUGCUCCUGUGAAACUAAAAUCGAUCCUACGUAGGAUCCCGAUUUUACAAACCUUGGCCAUUAGUAGUGGAGGAUACGUGGCUUAGGAACGAGAGAGACAGAAGGUGAGUGAGUGCGAGAGAGAGAGAGAAAGCAAAAAGAAAAUACAUAACACUAUAACUAUUCCUACUACUAACACAAUAUUUGGUUUUCAUCAAAAUCCAUUCCCAUUAACUAGUUUAUUACACUGAUGGUAAUAAUAAUAAUAAUGAUUAUGAAAUUCAUACCAAACAGCAAUUCAAUAACUAUGGCAAGACUUUGGAAUGCGUCGUAAUUUGAAAUGUGAAGUACAAAUAUGAAAAGGUUCUGAAUGAAAAAAGAAAAUGAAUAAAAAUGGAAAACUAAGAGAAUUGAGACGGGCUUUAAUGGGCCUUAAUGAUAUUUUUGGACUUCAAUCUUGAUUUGGGAUUACAAUCUAAUUACUUUCGUGAGUUGAGUCCAAUAGUUAAUACAUCACAUUGAGAUAACAAAAUAGGAUAAUUUUUUUAUAUAUUGUCAAUGUAUGAUUUUUUUUUUCCACUAGUAGAUUUAGAUCAUGUUAUAAAAUAUGAAUUCAAACUUUAAAUUCAAAUCAUGUACAUAUGACAUAUAUCCAACUGUUAGUGUAAAUAAAAAUUACUACACUAUUAGUGCAUAAUAUUGCUGAAAACGAGUCGAGUCGAAUCGAAUUUUGGCCUAAUCGAUUCGAGUCUCGAUUUAGUUUUAUCAAACUCUAACUCUAACUCUAACUCUAACUCCAAAUUAGAUGUUCAUCGAGUUUGAGUUGAAAGAAACUAAUAUUUGGAUUCGAUUUGACUUCUUAGCAUCCCUAACUUUAACCAAUUGCUUAAACUUAUUCUUAUUUAGGUUAGAAUUAUUUAAAAACUCCGCUUAAAACUACAUGUUUUCGGCUUUGUCCUCCUGAUUGUUGAAUGUAAUCAAUCCAUACCCCCAAGGCUUUCAAAGUUGCCCAUGCAAUCAUAAAUUCGUAUGAUUUCAUUGUCUAAUAUGCAUAUGUUACAAGAGUAGCAUGCGUAAAAAAGAAAUUUAAAUUGGCUUUAAAAAAUUGUUACAAGAGAAAUAUAAGUAUAAACCAUAAUGAGAGUAAUGUUCUGGCCAUAUAUAUAGGAAAACAAAAUGGCCAAAUAAAAGGGCCAGAAUCUAAAAGGACCAUGCAUAGGCCUAAACUUGGGUUUUACAAUUUGAAAAACGAUUGCCAAUUGCGUCGAUGAUUUUCUUUUUUCUUUUUUAAUUUGUUUGGGGUGAAAAUCAAAUUUAAACAUAUCAUAUACAGAUAAGCUUCAUCCCCAAAAUAAUUUUCGACCUAUUUCGACUAGGAAAAGGAGAAGGUAGAAGGAUAAAAAAUUUCCUGACCGUUAUUCAAGUUGGCCACUGCCUUGGAAUCACUGACCACCCUCCGCUUAUAUACAUCAUCAGGGAUGGAAUGAACCCUAUUGCGUAAUCUUGUUGCCGCAGAUAUAAACCAUCUUCUAGUUCUUGACCUAAGAUCCACGCAGCUAAAUACCAUCUUUUCUGUUUUUUUCUACUUUCUUCGUCGAGGAAAACAACUCAGGGUUUCAGCAAGCAAUCGUAGCUUAAAAAGUAUCCUAAAGAGUCAUGAAAGUGAAGCUAAGGAUUCGGGGAUAUCAAGAACCCGACAACCAAGUUCAAGAAACUGUUCAUCAAAGAGUCAUGGAGAAUACAUACGGACAUGGGGUUGCAUGGAGGAGAGGUCCGAUCCUAGGGAAAGGAAGUUUUGGCUCUGUAUAUCUGGCAACUGCAAAGAAUCCAUCAAUCCAUUAUAGGUGCCUUCCGUUGGUCAUGGCUGUGAAAUCAGCAGAGGUUUCGGUUUCAAGUUCGCUUCAGAAGGAGAGAGAAGUAUUAAGUUAUCUCAGUGGCUGUCCGGAUAUCAUUCAGUGCGUCGGCGAUGAAACAACAAUCGGCAGCGAUGGCAGAAUGGUUUACAACUUGCUGUCGGAGUAUGGUUCUGGUGGGACGCUUGCAGAUAGGAUCAAGAAAUCGGGCUACAGGGGAUUGCCCUUACGCGAGGUAAGAUGUUUUACUAAAUCUAUUCUUAAAGGGUUAACUUACAUUCACGAAGUUGGUUUCGUACAUUGUGAUUUGAAACCUGAAAAUAUCUUGCUUGUGCCCAAAUCAAGAAAAACAAAUACAGAAUUUAUUGCGAAAAUUUGUGAUUUCGGGCUUGCUAGAAGAGUUCAGAAGAGCAAGAAGAGGAAACUAGAGCGCUACUUUAAUGGCACUCCUAUGUAUCUGUCGCCUGAGGCCGUGAGGGAUGGUGUGCAAGGAACCCCUUGUGAUAUCUGGUCACUUGGAUGUGUUUUGCUGGAGAUGUUAACUGGAAAGCCUGCAUGGGAUGAAGGGAUGGAUGAGGAGGGUGCCUUGAACAAGAUUGGUAAAGGGACUGCAGUUCCUAAAAAACCAAGAAAUCUGUGCCAAAGUGCCAAGAGUUUUCUCAACUGUUGUCUCAAAAGAAUGGUUAAGGGUAGACUGUCGGCUAAAACAUUGUUACACCAUCCAUUCGUGAACGGAUUGAACGAUGAUGAUGAUGAUUAUGAUUAUGAUAAUGGUAAUGGAGUGCUUGAAGAAGAAGAUAUUGAUGAUAUGGAUGAAGAUUGCAGCUGUUUAUCUGCAGAGCACUGAGCAGACGUCUCCUAUCAGUUGGGAGAUAAUCCAAUGGUGAUUGAUGGGAAUAGCUAAAAGAAUUGUAUUGCACUUGAUUGCAUGAGGAACAAAGUUGGAGCGUACGGUACAGAUUCCACAUGUAGUCAAGUACUUGAAAGUUGUGUAUAGCUAAAAGAAUUGUAUUGCAGAUUAUGACAAGUUCUUUUAGGUAACAAUCGGAGUACUGUUUACAAACCGAACAUAAAGUAUAAAGAUUGUAGAUUUGGUUUGAUCAAUUGAAUCAUCAUAACCUGCACAUUAUAAACACGCAGAUGAAUGAAAUAUUGAAAGGUUUAUUUAGUUAAUUAUAUUGACUAUUGUUUAGUGCUCAAGGUUUUUCACUUGUCUUGCCUUUAAAUCACAGUUUUUGUCUUUUCGAAUGUUCAUAGUUCAUUAUACUAGUUCAUCUGGCAAUGGUUUAUGAAUGUACCCGUAGGGGCUCUCUUUCAAGAGAAGGUGCAGAGGAGGUCAAAAGUGAAAAUUUUCAUACACGUUCAUAGGAAGUUUAAUUUGUUUUAAUCUGAAAUAGCAGUUACUUACUUCAAUUUAGAUUGAAAUCAGCAAAAAAUCAAUCGCACGAUCGUGCAUUUUUAUCUUGUCUAUAAUCUCAUCCGCCAGGCAAACUCCUUACCGUCCGCCAGAUGUUGCCUAAAAAGAUUAUGCUUACCAUAGAGAGAGGGACAGAAGGAGGAAUGGUUUGAUAAAGAAAUCAUGCUUCGUAGUUUGUAGGAAACGAAGGGAUGAAACAUGAAAGAGAAACUUCGUUUGAAACGUUUGAAAAUCAGAAAACAAAAGCUCCAAAAAAAAAAAAAGUAGAAAUUUAUUCGAAAGUUGAAUGAAUCAAAAGCUAACUAAAACAAGAGGGUUUUUAAGCGUUUUGUUUUCAGCUGUUUACUAUGUUCCUAUUGGCCCAUGUUUGGUUAGUUGUAUCAUUGGAGUACAAUCUAGCAGAAAAUAUUGAUGAGGCUUUCAGAACGUUGCUCAAACGGCAGCUCUAAAUUGAUGAGGCUUUCAGGACAUUAAGUUUAUCAUCAAAAUGCACUAUAACCGAGAAAAAAAAUGAAGCAAUAUCUUUCCCAAAGUGAUGGGAUCAAGUUUGGCGACGACGGAGGAAGACAGAGUACAACAUUCCUCUUGCAAUAUUGCAUGUCAAUGAACUAGCGCUGCAUAUGCUCAAACCAAAAGUCUAAAUUUAUUUGCACUUAGAAACUGAUACGCGAUCAACAAUCUUUCAUCAAGUAGGAUGAAACAAACAAAAUAGUGGAGAUGUUUGACAACAAAAGAAUCAAACCUCUGAAAGCUACCUUCGCCAAUCAAAGUUUUCUCUAAGAUUUCAGUCAUUUCCUAAGAGAAAUUCUUUACUAUACAGUUGCAGACAAAAGGAAAGUUCCAUGAAGCAAAAAGGUCUUCAACACCGAAGUCAGUCUGCCACCACCCUGAAAUAGGAAAAGAAAGAUUAGAAUUUCAUGACAAAAGCAAGAGGAAGAAGGGAAAAGGGGAGAGUUGGUGGUCGCUAAGACCAAGGAUGUCAACAGUAACAAAGGUCCAAAAGUGAUAAGAUGGGCUUUCUGGUCUGUAAUGUAACUGUUGGGAAGAAGGUAAAGCAAAGAAAAGAAGACCUUUAGCAUCAUGAAAUUGCAGAGAGAGCUCUAUGUCAUUUCUACAAAUUUGCUAUUUUCACCUUUGGAAUCCAUCCAGAUUGUUUCAAACUUCUAUUAAGAGAUGCGCAAACACGUAAAUCAGCAAACACAUUUUGCAGCAGGAUAUAGCAGCAAUUCUUGAACUGGGACAUACUGGGUGAAGCUAAACUUCAGCUUUCCCAACUUUCUAUAAUUAUUAUAGCAACAGUGUGGACGUUAAUCCUGCCUCCGCUUGUAAAAGUAAAAUCCCAACAAAAUGACCAACUAAUGCUGGCACGAAGGUGGUUGACUAGUAAUAUCAAUGGGUCUGAAAGUAUUCAUUGCCGUUGUGAAUCUAUAGUAACUGUUUAACUUCUCUAGCUGGUAAAAAUUUUGACAGCUUCUGGAUAUGCAUAGCAUUUUGCUUUAUACAUGAGCAAGCCAAGCAUUAGCAGAUAUAAUAUUCCAGUAGCUGCAUGAGACAAGCCAAAGACAGCUCAUUUCCCCUACAAGUUCCAAUAGUGAUUGCUCUCUCAUGUAGACUUAACAGUUUCAGGUCUGUUCAAAACAAUCAUUUUUGUCCAUAAACUCUCCUUUUGUUUUCCCCCUUGAUAAUGAAGCUAAAAUAGAUAGACUAGAGCAUCUGGUGAAAGACAAUUACCUAUCUCAUUUUCUUUUCACAUACACCUCAAUGAUGUCAUUCUCCUCCAUUUCAAGCCCAGCAGGGGUGGCAGUAGGACUAAUUUUAUCUCCAUCAAAACAAAAAACUAGAUUCUGCAAAUCAAGCUUGACCUUUUCAGCAUACAUCUUGAAGAGUCUCUCAAAUUUAUCAUCCUACAAAAAUGAAGAGAUUCUUGAUUACAAAUCAUGAACAAGCAAGUUCUAUUGGAUAUCAUAGCAGAGAAUAUUUUACAGUUGUUUGCCAUCAUUGACAUUCCAAAAGAAGCCUUUUGACACCCAAGUUUGUGAAGGGCUAGACAUUCUUCCAUAUAAGUUGUACUUCUGAAAGGACCAUACUACUGCACCAAAAGAUGAAAGGAAAAAAGAAGCAGUAGACAAUCAAGCAGGACAUGAUCUUGAGGAUUGAAGAGAUUUUCCAUACUGAGUGCAAGGCCUAAGUUAGUGAUAGAUAAGGUAGAUCCCACCCAGGAUGGUUGGCCGAACUAAGAUUUAGCAGUUCUGCUAUAUUGUGAAAGAGUUUCUUGCCUGCAACAAAGAUUGAUCUACUUGAUAUUCCUAAUUGAAACUGGAGCUGUUACUGAAUUUACUUUUCAGAAAUUCUCAAGUAUAAAAGUACUUUUACCUGUUAUCCAGAGACUUAGCAAUUUCCAAAAUUCCAAUUUUUAGGAAUAAAUAACAUAGAACUGAUUUUUCUUCUUUAUACUUAUGCUCAACAGUUGAGCUCCCAAGUAGGUUAAAGUCCAGACAUACAAAAUCUUUCAGAUCUUAUCUAGUCAUAUAUCACCAUAUCUAUGUGUUACCAGGCUAAUGAAUUUCAAAAACUUGUACUGCAAAACAAUUGCAAGCGAUUGAAUACCAUGAAAACUCUAAAUUGCUUGGGUCCAUCCUUGUCCUGGAUCGUAAUUACUAUCUUUGCUCUGUCCUGGCAAGUAUCUGAUGGCUGUUCUGCAAUACCUCUUGUAGGAGAUUGUGAUGAUGCAUUAAGGUGGCUUUUCAUAGAUUCUGCAGCAGCAAACUCUUGUCUCACAGAUUCCUCAACAGCUUUCAAUGCAUCCUUUGCUGAUUGGGCUAGCGAAGCCAAUUCCUGCCUUUUCAGCCUACAAGUAAAAAAAUCACAUACUAUUAGAAACCCAAAGACAGCAAAAUAACAGGAUAACUUAAUUGUUGAACACAAUUGGAGAUUUUCCUUCUGUUAGUCCACUACAUUUGAUAUCUUCCUCUGCUUCAGCUUUGACAUUCAAAAUAACCAUACAAUCUCAUUUUCUGAUUAGCAAAUAAAUUACUAAACAACAUUAAUAGGCAGCCAUCACGACUACUGAAGGAUAAAUUCAUUACCUACCAAAUUUAAAAGUAAGAACUACUUAUAGCAAGACCAUGGCUCCCUAACCAGAAAUAUUCUGAUAAGCAAAAACCUGAACUUUUCAUGACAAUUAAAUUAAAGCAUUCUUUAAGAGAAACCUCCAAAGCUUUCACGAGAAUUGACAAACAUUGAAAUUACACAGGCUAAACAAGAAAUAUAUCAAGAAAAGAAUACAAGAGCACAAGAAGAUAGAAAACUACCUCAGCUCCUUUAUGGUAGAAUCUUCAUUAAGCUUUGAUGUAUCAUUGGUCAUUUUAGGUGGAGGAGGCAACCAGUCUUCUUCUUCUUCUUCUUCUUCCUCUUCAUUUUCAUCACAAUCAAUUACUUGAACCACUUUCCCCUUAUUAUCAUUCUCUUCAACCUAUCCAAUUCAAAAUUACCAUAAAAAACCCACCUCAGAGUAUAUUUAAUUCAAUCAAUAAUUCACGAGUACAGAAAGAACCAAUCUUGAACACCUAAAGUUCGAUAAAAGACUAGAAACUUACAGCAGAAUCAGCUGUUUUUCGCUUUUUCUUACAACCCACUGGGGGAGCGUCCAAAGGAUCAUCUAUUAAUUCAGAAUGAAAGUAAUAAAACAAAAUCAGUCAACAAAGAAUAACAGCCCAAAAAAUAAAAGAGAGACCGAGAAAAAGAGCAUACCAUCAACAAUGACGACGUUGAAGGGCUGAACGCGCCUAUAAUCGAAAAGGGGUUCUAGUUCUUCCAUAGAAUCAGCCUAAAAACAUCAAAAAAUGAAAAUUAAAAGGUCGAAUUCAAAAACCCACAACUUAUAUGUUGGAUAAAAUGGGGGGAAUUGAUUUUAUUCUCACCAUCGAUGGAAUUUGAAUCGGAUUGCCUAUUUAUCCUGUCUACUUUUUCGGCGCUUUUCGUUUUCUCGUUCAAAUUCGUAUUACAAAAAAGGAAAAAAUCAUGACCGGUGCGCGGAUUUGGGCCAGGGUAAUGGCCUCCAGGAUUUCUACAUUAUUCAAUUUUACAACCCUCUCCUUUCUCAUAAUUACUCUGCUUCCUCUAGAGUUAGAAUGACUGUACUAGGAAGCCUCCCUUCUUAUGAAUUUGGUCUAUUAAGGGUACUUUUCAGACACCUUAUAUUCGAUGGAAACCUAAUAGAGUCAAUAGGAUAGUAAAAUGAAGAUAGGUAAGGGGAAAUGGAUUAUUGUGCUAAUUAGCAAGAGAGAAAAUAUAAAAGUUUUUUAACUUCUUGAAAGUUUAAAAAGCAUUUUAGUGGUAUACCAAACUAUUAAAAGCACUUUCUUUGCGUUGGCAGAAUUGAAGAGUUUUAAUGAGCAUAUUGCUUAUUUCAAUUUUUGAAUUAGAAUGUAUUUGAGAAAGAUUGAAAAGUAUUAUUACAAGAUAUAUAGUUGGAGGAUGGUCGUUAUUUGGUAUAAAUAUGUAGAAAAUAUUUAUCAUGGCAUAUGUCCCUUUCUUUGUACAAACUAACUAUAAUAAUCGUGACCAAAUUGGAUGCGCUUGAGAUGAAGCAUUCGUACGUGAUCCUAACCAAAUUGGAUCCGUUCGAGAUGAAGCGUGCUAAUUUGUCUAAAAACUCAAGAGGUGUUUGGUUGAUCAAAAUAUUUGCUCAAGGAAUGGUUUCAAAUUCAAUCACGUCAAUACAUGGUGUGUGUUUGACGUGAGUCGGAUGAGUUAACAGGAAUGAUAAGUCUCUUCUAUGGGUUUACUGAUUAACUGCACUUAGAAAGUCAUCUUAAGUUAUUCAGUUUAAUCUAAAAAUGAGAAGGAAAAAAUGCAUGACACCAUCUUAGUAUUAAAAAAAAAACUUCUCUACUUUAUUACUAUUGCUCUUUCGUUGACUCACCACUCCUCUCGGGCGCUCUUUUGCCACUCUCCUCUUUUUUCUUCUUUCUUUUAUCGAUUUGAUCUUUCGCCUCAUCCUUUAUAAAUAGAAUUCUUUAUAGACGUAUCUGUGUAUCUCGGUAUUAAAAAUUAAUUUUUGUGAUGGGAUAGCAUAGUGAUAGUUUUGGCAUGACAAAAAUAAAAGGGCCACAGCUAAGAUGGGAUAAUUCCUCAAAGAAAUAUGUUCAUAAGUAAAUAAGAUGAUAAGAGAACAUUUUCAUGCAUUUGUUGAAAUUAUUGUAUCGAGAAUUGACAAAUUGUAUCUGAUUUCGAUUGAAACUAGGGUUUUUUAGAUUUGGGGAUUGUAUUGUAUUUAAGGAAAUAUUAUAAUGUUUUGGUAAUCAGUAGCUGCCGGUGUUUGCCAUUAGUGGUGGAGGAUACGUGGCUUAGGAACGAGAGAGACAGAAGGUGAGUGAGUGCGAGAGAGAGAGAGAAAGCAAAAAGAAAAUACAUAACACUAUAACUAUUCCUACUACUAACACAAUAUUUGGUUUUCAUCAAAAUCCAUUCCCAUUAACUAGUUUAUUACACUGAUGGUAAUAAUAAUAAUAAUGAUUAUGAAAUUCAUACCAAACAGCAAUUCAAUAACUAUGGCAAGACUUUGGAAUGCGUCGUAAUUUGAAAUGUGAAGUACAAAUAUGAAAAGGUUCUGAAGGAAAAAAGAAAAUGAAUAAAAAUGGAAAACUAAGAGAAUUGAGACGGGCUUUAAUGAUAUUUUUGGACUUCAAUCUUGAUUUGGGAUUACAAUCUAAUUACUUUCGUGAGUUGAGUCCAAUAGUUAAUAUAUCAAAUUGAGAUAACAAAAUAGGAUAAUUUUUUAUAUAUUGUCAAUGUAUGAUUUUUUUUUUCCACUAGUAGAUUUAGAUCAUGUUAUAAAAUAUGAAUUCAAACUUUAAAUUCAAAUCAUGUACAUAUGACAUAUAUCCAACUGUUAGUGUAAAGAAAAAUUACUACACUAUCAGCGCAUAAUAUGACUGAAAACGAGUUGAGUCGAAUCGAAUUUUGAUCUAAUCGAAUCGAGUCUCGAUUUAGUUUUAUCAAACUCAAACUCCAACUCGAGCUUGACAAGCUCUUGAUGUAGCAGCUCGAGUUCAAAUUCGAGUUGAGUUCAGGCUCAAGCUCGAGGUUAAAAAAUAUAAAAAAUAAUUAUUUUAUUUUUUAAAAUGAAUAAACUAAUAUUUUUUCUUAACAAAUAAUAUAUAUAUUAGGGAUAUAUAUAUAUAUGCUUACUAUUAAAAUAAGUAUAUAUAUAUAUAUAAUCGAGUCGACUCGCGAAUUAACGAGUUAAAUAUUUUUGAACUCGAACUCAAGUCCAGCUUUGAUUCAAGCCGCUCGCGAGUAGCUGGAUUCAUUUGCAGCCAUAGUGCAUAAAAGGUUAAUCCAAUGAAGUAACGGAAGAGUUUUGAUUAGUGCUUGUCAGGUUGUGCUAUGUGCAAUGUGAUAUCAUUCCUUAUUCUACAAUUAAAGUUUACCAUACUAACAUGGUAACUUAAUCAUCUAAACUGGUCCACAAAAUUUUUUUUCGGUUUACCAUAUUUGCAUGUCGUUCUUGUAUUCAACAUGGUAACUUAAUCAUCUAAAUUGGUCCACAAAAUUAUUAUCCAGGGCCACAUUACCAUAAAAAGGUACAAUUAAAAAUAUGCGGUCUAAUUAGAGUAAUAAAACAUUCAAACACAAUGGAGAUGCAAAAUGCCUAAAAAAUACGGUUCAAUUAAAUAUUUAUGAGAUGAAAUUUUUGAAGUGGCACUACUAUUCCCAUUUUGUGACCAUGAUUAAAACUUUUACUUAGACUUUAAUUGAUUUAGGUGUUCUAUCACAAAAACUAAAAAAAAUUACAAAAAUAGCAAGUAUAACUCAAAACAAGUGAAAACUAUAGCUACAAUUUUUUUCUUUAUUGGUAAAAUAAAUAGGCAUUGUAACAUUAUAAGUUUAUAACCAUAAAAAUAAUUUUGAUUUCACCAAAUUUAUUAAAAAAAAGUGCUUAUAUAUACUUACAAAUACACACACACGCACACACGCAUAUAUAUAAGGUGAUAUUUUUAUCUAUUUGAAAAAUUAUUAUAGAAACUAAGAUCUAUUUGUUCCAAAAACAUCCAUCUUUAAAGAUGGAAAACCUCUACUAUUAUAUUGGCUUUAUGAAAACCCUCUAAGAAUUAGGGUUAUAAUACGUCUCAAAUUCAAGAGAAUGUUGGAAAAAUUCUUAAUGACAUGUCUAUAUUCUCAAUUUGCUUUUCAUAAAUGGAAAACCCAAAGAAAGCUUGCUAGCAUUGUCGAAAAUGGUGUAUCUUUUUGGUCCAAAAAUCUGUAAUUUUAUAUAGAGAAAAUCUCUUAAAUCAUUUUUUCUUGACAAGACCUUCCAACAGUUAGGGUUACAAGGCAUCUCAAGUUAAAAAAUAUUCUACAACAAUAAUUAAUGAUGUUUUGAUAUUCUCAAUAUGCUUUUAGUAAAUGAAAAGUCUUUCUUACUUUUCAAACUAGCUAGAGAAAGCUUAACAAUUCCAUUUUUUUUAGCGGAGAAAAUGUGAGAUUUAAGAGACUGGGAGGGAGAGAGAAAUUGGAAUCUAUGACCUUUAAAUUUUAAAACCUUAACCUUUAUCACUAGACCAGAGUCCUCUUGACUUAGCAGUUCCAGUUCUUCAUUUGAUAAACCAAUUAUUUCAACAUGGGAGAAUAAAUAAGGGAGACGAACUAAAGUUCACUUUUAUAAAUAUUAUAAUAGCAAAAUCCAUAUUUGAUUGCCGAUUUUUAAGAGAGAUAUCAAAAUGAAUUAGAGUACUAGUUAUUUCGAAAGAACAAUUAAAAAAUAAUAUCAAGAAACAAAGUUUUUUUUUAUAUAAAAUCAUUUAUCGCAACUAGAAAAAAGUAUAUGUAUAUUGCAUUUCAUAUUUCAUGCAUUGUCUGCAUAGGGUAUGAAUUAUUUUAGCCUUUUGUGAAAACAUGAAAGAAAUGAACAAGUAACCGAUAACAAACGAUUAAGUUCUGACACACAAGACAGUAUGAACCUACGCCUUGAUGUUAUAUUCUUCGAGAGUUUUAACUAUUUUGAUUAAUUACUUAAUGUGUAGUGAUGUUUCAUGAUGUAGCAACAAUCUAGCUAUGAAAAAGAAUAAUAACCAUGCAGCAAUAAGGAUUUUUUUUCUCUAAACAAAAAAAUUAUGUUUCUUUAUAUUAUAAGACAUCUUUCAACAUGCCAUGAAGGCUGAAAAAUAGGCUAUUGUUGAUGUGAAGAAAGAUUUAUAAGUAAUUUAACUUUCGACAGAAAAUAUGGAUAUCCAUGAUGCUGUAUUUUCUUGCUAUGAUUAUUUCACUUCGUAAUUUUGGAAAUGAUAUUGAAAGAAACACAACUUCCUGUGUUACUUAUCUAUAAUCUCUUUCUAAAUCAAAUUAAAGGAUAUAUAUAUAUGCACUACAAAUCAUGUUCAAGAAGUUCAUGUCAUGUACAAUAGUCAGUAAAACUUGUACUAGACGAACAUGUACAACAACAUUUUUGAAUACACCAAGGGGUAUAUGAAAACGUGAAAAGGUCAAAAAAAAAUAGCGGGUAGUCCAAUUGGUUAAAAUACAUUACAAAAAUAAUCAAAUACAUUCCCUUCCUUUGGGCAAUUUGUAAAUUUUCGAAGAAAUAAUGAAGAGAAAAGUAAAUUGCAGACUAUAAUUUCAUAUACGAACAUCAUACACAUGUGUAUGAUAGCUAAUGAAUUCCACUUUCUCUUUUCUUAUUUGGACCUUCCUUCAUCAUAAUUGUAUGGGGCCACAGUAGUAAAUCUCCUAUCUGGCUGCUGGAGAAAUACCUACAAGAUCACAUUUAUCUAAAAGAUUUUGAGUUUUGUACAUUUUGGUCUAUUCUCUUUUUUUUUUUUUUAGCUUCAAUUGUAUGCACAUUUUGAGGUCUUGGGUGCUUGGUCUAGGCCCUGGACGUUUGUAUAUCAUUGCCCUUAAGAGUAUAUCAGCAUAGGAAUGCUCAAGUAUAUAAUCCCAUUCAUCUUUAAUCUUUUAACUCUAUCCAUCUCAUUUUUGUAAUCUCAACCAACUUCUUCUUUCUUUUCUGUUUCUUAUUAAAGUCCAUUUUCAGAGUUAUAAAAUUGUUUUCGUUCCAUUUCCUGAGCUGUUGGCUUCUUCUGAAAAAAAAAGAAUGGAUGUUAGUAGUCUUGGAGGUGGUCUCAUUCCAAAGGCAGCUAAGGGUCUUCAAAUUUUGUUGGUUGAUGAUGAUACAGAUUGUCUCACAAACAUGUCAUCUGUGCUUCGAGAACACUCCUACGAAGGUCAAUCCUUAUGAGAUUUCUCUAUAUUUGUAGCCCCUCUUUUUUUUUACCCCAUUUAAUUGUUUGCAUAUCUUUGAUAAUUCUCCUCUGAACUUAGUCUAUCUACCACAGGCCUCAACAAAUUUAUAGAAAAAGAACUUGAUUGUUUUGUGGGUUUUUGUAUUCUUUUUGCUUGUUUAUUGGUGGUACAUUUUUUUUUUUCGAUCUUCUUUAAUGCUAGUCUUCAAAUGAAAUAGGAUUUUGUGUGGAGUAGUUGCUAUCGAACAAGGGCCGAGGGGAUUGAUGCUGGUUUCCUAGAUUUUUCAUUGAUUUUUUUGCACUACUAGAAAUGGUAUAUGAAGAUGAUUUUAAUUAUGUUACUUAAAAAAAUCAUACAAGUUUUAUUCCUUUAGAUGAAGCCUUUGAUCUCUUAAAUUUGGAACUUUAAAAUUCCAAUGCCAAAUAAAGAGUAAAAACUUCAGUACAUUUAUUCUGCAGGUUUAACUUUAGAAAUAUCGAGUGCUAGUUCAAUUUUAGAAAAUCAAAUUUGUUUAAAUAAAUUGAUCAACAUUUAUUUAUAAGAACUAGUUUUGAGAUGAGUUUAUCUUUAUGAAGCUUCUGCUAAAAAAUUUAAGUAUGAAAAAAAAAAUGAAAAUAAUUCGAUUAUGGACUGCAUAUCUUGGUUUAGAAAAUAGCUCUCAUAGGAAAACUUAAGGCUUCUCUUUAGACGUAGUCCUAUACAAAUCUCUAAGAUUGCAUUUCCAAAACUGCUUCUUUUUUUCAAAAAAAAAAAAAUCUAGAAACAGACUGCCAGUCUUUUCAAACUUUUUUCUUUUGGACAAUUGUCUCCACUGUGUCCAAAUUGAUCCAAUAUUUUUUAUAAAUAUUCAUCAUUACAGUAAUUAAUUCACUAAUUCUAAUUUGACUUUGCUUCUUUCUUAGUGAGAUAGACCUGAGUGUCUACUGUUAUCCCCACUACUGUAACAAAAAAAUUACUAUUCAUUACGUCAAUUGAUCUAAUAUUUUCAUGCAAAUUUAAUUUUUCUAGUUCUUUUAUGACUUGAAUUUUGACUAACCUUGUUCAUUAUUUUACCUUACUAGUUACCACCACGAAAUGGGCAAUAAUUGCACUAUCCUUAAUCCGGCAAAGAAGAUCCUUCUUUGAUCUUGUGAUUACUGAAAUGGACAUGCCUGGGUUCGGUGGCUUCACAAUGCUCAAUCAAAUUUUGCUUAUCAAGAAAGACAUUCCCGUCAUUUGUAAGUUUGAGCACUCAAUACCUCUGGUUUCAAAUCUAUACAUGCAUUGAUGUAACAAUUUUUUUUUUGUUUUUGGGGGGGUCUAGUGAUGUCUUCAAAUAGAGAUGCAGACAUGGCCAAGAAAGCCCUUGAUGAAGGGGCAUGUUUUUUCUUCUUUAAGCCACUGCACACUCCAGAUUUGAUCACAGUUUGGCAGCAUGUGUUUCGCAAGAGAGGCAACAGAAAAGGGCUCUUGAAGGAGGUUGAGGAUAAUGGAGAUCGAACAGUUCAAACCGAGAGACCUAAUGGUGUUAAUGAAGAAAAUGUUGCAGACCAACCCUUAAUCCGUGACCCAAGGAAAGGCAAGGCUCCUUGUUCAGAUGAUGGUCAUGGAAGCAAAAGGCCAAAGAAUGUGGGCGAUGAUGCAAGGCAGGCUAACAAGGAUAAACUGAUAAUAGGUGGUAAUGAUAAACAAGGCAGAGAUAAAGAUGCUGGCAAAAGAAAGAAAAUGGAGAAAAGAAAGAAAAGAAAGUAUCGUAAGAAGAGUAGCAGGUCUGCAGAGAAAAAGCCACGCCUGGUUUGGACGCCCGAGCUGCAUGAAAUUUUUUUGAAUGCAAUUGCUGCAUUGGGUGAACGCGGUAAUAAUUCUCUCCCAAACUUCUCAUUCAAUUGCUAUCAGCAUCAUGUUCUUUUACCCUUAUAUUACCUGCAUUCAUACGCCAAAAUAUUAGAUAGUUGCUCGAUCUCAUGCAUUCAUGAACAUGAACAUAGUUAUUGAAAAAUUCAAAGCAUAUGAAUUCACAUGCUUAUGAAUUUUUAGACAAUUACAUGGACUUUCUCUUUUGAAUUUAGAACAUUUGCGAUUAUUCUUUUUUUGUUUACCUUUCCUAAUUCAGAUGCUCAUCCGACGGCAAUACAGAAGGAGAUGGACAUUCCAGAAUUGUCACAUCGCCACAUUGCCAGUCAUUUACAGGUAAAAUGAUCUUUGGUCAGCUAGUGAAAGUGCUAGCAUUUUUGCUUGACUCAGUUAUUGUUUCCUUUUUUUUUUUUUAAUUAAGUGUUGCUGAAAAUGCUAGAAAAGAAUUUUUUUUUUUUUUUUUUUUGGUUUUUGGCUUAAUUACCAUUAGAUUGGUUGAUAUCAUCAUCGAUUCAUUACCAUUCAUGCAAUCGUCUUAGAGGCUGUCUAAAUUUGUUAGGAAUGUAAGAGUCUUGCCCACUUUAACUUGCUAGCUAGCUAUUCUUGCUGUUCAUAAUUCUGAAGUUUCGCAUUUAUUAUUUCUUGGUUUUGAAUUUCUAUAUAGUAAUCCUUUCACCCAUAUCGUUCACUUUUAUAAUUUUAUUCUACUAUUUUCUCUUUUUUUUUUCUCUUUUUUUGUCCAGAAACACAGGAAGCAUAUAAAUAAAGCAAGAGAAUUAUUGGUUAGAAAUCCACAUAUUUUUGAACCCAACGUGACUAGAUAUCCAUCCCUGAGUGAGAGAAAAAAACCAUCUUUCUUUGAAUCCAAUAUGACUAGAUAUCUAACCCCUCAACCUACAACCACGAGGACGAGAAAAAUACCUAGUAUUUUCGACACCCUGAUGGCAACAAAUCCAACUGAACAUAUUCGAAGCCCCUAUAGUCCUAGUUUUGCUCCUCCUCAAUUUACACACCCAAAAGCUUACCUUAAUGAGGGCACAGCUUAUAACCAAAGGGACGCACUCAAUCAGAUCCUUGCUAAUCCCAGCAACAACCCGCCAAUGACCAGCAAUCAUCAAAAUUCAUAUGCAAAUUUUGGAAAUCAAGAAUCUUCCCAAUUGAACCAUGUUCAGUACUCAGCUGAUCAGGGCAAAGGAAAACAAGUUUUGUCUUCCUUUGGAGGAUAUAAUGACAAUCAUGUUGCUCCAGCUGAUGAUUUAUGCAAGACCAAAGUGGAUGCUCUGAUUGAAGCAAUUAAAAAGGAAUUGGCAGAUGCUCUUGGAGCUGAUGCUAAGUUGCGUCAAGAUAUGAAGUUCUUGGCCAGGUACAAUAAUGUUGUUCCUCAACGAAGCUCACUCCAAACACCAUCCGAGGUGUUUUCUGCUGCUUGUAAAGACUUAUUGGCACCAGCAGAGACAGAUUUCGACAUUGGGGAACAGAUGACUUACACUUAUAAAGAUCUUGCAAUGAUUUUGAAUGACUUGAAUGCUGGUACUGAAGGCAUUUCAGGAUCAAGCUCAGACCAAGAACCGCCCAUGGAGUUUUCUACAGCUUGUGAAGCCUUGGCACCAGCAGAGACAGAUUUCGACAUUGGGGAACAGAUGACUUACCGUUAUGAAGAUGUUGCAAUGAUUUUGGAUGACUCGAGUGUUGGUAAUGGAGACAAAACAGGAUCAAGCUCAGAGUCCCCAGACCCGCCAUUGCCAGACAAUGUUGCUGAUGACGAUCAUGAUUUCACUGAACGGCUCAACAUAGAAGAUUUUUCUGAGCUUUUUGAAAUCUUUCCAGACAUUCAAGAUGGAGCUCCUUAGUUGGGCUUGCUUCUGAAUUAAUUAAACGAGAAGAAUAGCUGGCUGUCUUUUAGUUUGUUUUUAAGACUUUAGAAGAAGUCUAAGUUCUAAACAUUGAGCAAAAUAUAGAAAUGGACCUUGAUCCAACGGAGAGUUGCAUUGAAAUAUGGUCUGUAAUGAUUUAUAGGAAAGAUGCAUCUUUUGUUCGACAAGUCUGUGUAAAUGACGCAGAACACCUUCUCAAAAACAAUAUCUAAAAGGUGAAAAAAAUUAGAUACUACUGGUACACCGUUCGUGUGUAUUUUUGGUUUGAUCUACCAGACCAACAACAAAAACAUUGGAAUGAAAUUGAUGAUAACAACAGUCAUUGCAACGGUUUUCACGAUUUUGAGCGCUAGUCAUACGUCUGAAAAUGUUAACAAGAAAACGAUACAUGGCGAAGCUUAUUGCUUGGAUCUUUGUUCGUUUAAGAUGAGAUGUGCUCAAUGCCCAAAAUGAGAAAAUUCUACGACACCUUAGAUUACAAUUUAAUGAUACCAAUCUUGGUCGAAGUAAGAAUAAAGUUGCAAUAAUCAAGAAAAGGAACUUCCUAUAUGAUAUUAUACCUUUCAUGUACAGGAACUAGUUAUACAUCCAUGGCCUAUUUUAGUCGUCUAUAUUGGUUAUAGGACCUUUAAACCAAUACCUAGCACUAAAGACCCAAGCAGUGACAGUAAGAAUAACUAGGCCACCAACAGCAACUGGCGUAUAGUUGAGAGUUUGAUCGGUAACGGGAUAGGCAACGGGCAAGGAGAACAGCACAGAGAUGGUUGCCACCCACAGCACAGCAAUCCAACCAACAAGGACCCCAAAACUUCCCAAAUUGAAAGGCCCUGGGGUGAAAGAUUUUCGUGCCAAAGUCACCCUAAAGAAGAUAGGUAGGGCAUAGGCAAUGUACAGUCCAAUAGUUGCUAUGGAUACCAUGGCCUGAAAUGCGACCAAGCUCCCAAGAGACUGCCACAAAAAAAAAAAUAAAAAAUGCAGAGCGUGCGAUAUUCAGUUAAAGGAGUGAUGAAUAAAAACGAACAGUGGGUGCUCAUCCUAAUUGGUAAUAGCUCAAGCAAAUCCGCAUAUGCAAGUAAACUCACGCUGCAUUUUAAAGGUUCUUAAAAUUCAAUAGAAAGAGAAUUUGCAUUUCAUUUUAAAGAUUCUUAAAAUCUGACGUGCUCUCAAAGUCUUGUGGUUCCCCUGGCCUACAGGAAAAUGCAGAAAAGAGAGGUUCAUACCGUAAGUGCCAUGCAGAAUGCAAUAAAAGCUGAAAGCCAAACUGCAUUUAUGGGAACAUCUUGCUUGUUUACUUUGUGCCACAAGGAUGACAAAGGCAUAGCUCCAUCCCUUGAGAAUGCAUAGGCCAUCCUGAGAAUGUAUAUCAAUUUGACCGUCAAUGGAAAUCUUGCUACACAUGAAGAAACCAGCAGAAAAAAUUAAAAAGAAUGGUUACCUUGAAUUGCUAGUUAUUGAGCUCAUGCCGCAGAAAAAUAUGGCAACAGCAACAAUACACAAGCACACAAUUCCACCAGCUCCACUCCCAUAUCUACUUUUGAACACUUGGUAGAAAAUUUCAGCGAUGGCAUAACCACCAGCAUCAUUGUCCUUGCUCAAAAGAUUUGGGAUGUUCGUAACUGAAAAUGUGAUACCAAGUAUAUAACCCCAUCCAACAAUUAUAGAUAUCCCGAUGGAACUAAUUAUUCCCUUAGGGCCAUUCUUAUCUGCACUCUUGGUUUCCUCUGACUAGCAGCAGAAGUAAUAAUGUAAGAGAAAUUAUCCAACAAAAUUUGUUUGGUUAAGAAUAAGAUAAAUGACUUAAAAACUGGAGAACAAGCUCUCAAAAUGUGAGAUCUGAAUUUCUUGCAGAGCACAUAGCAGAUAAGCUAGAUGCCUAGAUGAUUAAGCGAAAAUGAAACCAAAUAUCUGGUAAUCAGUUUUGUAAUCUGAAGUACCUUUUAGCCGCUGGUUGCUCAAUUGUUCCAUUCUGAUAUGAAUGUUGUUCUUACAUCAGAUAGUGCUAGUAUAUGAGCAUGACAGUACUUAAUCCUUGAGAUUCUUUAUCUCAUAGAUUUUAUUUAAGAAUGUGAUAGCAUAAUCAAACUCCAGAAAGGAUAAGGGCAAUACAUAGAGAUAGAUGUAAUUUCUAUUGUAUUUGCGUCAUCAAAGUCCCAACACAAAAAAUGAAUAAGCGCAAUAAAUUAGAGAUGAAACUUACCAUGUGGGCAGAUGCAUCAUAUCCAGUCAGCGUAUACUGGCUCAUAAGAAGCCCGAGUAUAAAUAUGUACAAUUUACUGUUGACGCCAGCCCCAUUUUCAGUGUUGAAAUGAGUAAACACAAACUUAGCACUGGCUCUUUCAGUUGCAACUGUAGGAAUCACAAUCAUGAGUAUAAAGACUCCUGAAACCAAAAGAGUAUCUUGUAAGACAAUCAGGUGAGAAGCCAAAAGAGUAUCUUGUAAGACAAUCGGGUGAGAAUUGAAACCGACUUAUAGAACAGUUUUGUCGUCAGUCUACCUAGUACAUUCCAUGCAGCAGCAAGCUGUCCAAAGAAUGAUAACCACGAGAUAGGAAGACUGUUUAAGACAGCAUGUGAGAGCAAAAUUGCAGCAUGGAUGGCAAUAACUACAUACUUAGAGGCCUCAUAUCCACCUCCAGAGGUUCCACCAGUACUCAGAAGGAUGAUCACCCGAAUCAGCUGUGCAAGUGAAAAAUCCACGCUUGUUGUAACUGCCCACUGCAAAGAGAAAUUUCUUUACCAGUUAAACAUAAUUGUGGUGUCACCAAGCAUGAAGAGGAUUGACAGAAAUAGAGUGAAGAAUCUUGAACUGCAGACUAAAAGUUUAAAUACCUGACCAACAAUGUUGAACCUGUAAAGCCAAAACAAGAAAAACAAAAAAUAAGUACUCAGCCUCUACCAAUGGAUUUAUAGCAAGACAUAGCUGGCGAUAGUUUAUCAAACAGAUUGCUACCUAUAGAAACCAAACUCUACAUGGUAAGAGGGUGAUCCAGAUGAAGAUGGUCCAUUAUGCCACUACCCAAGAACUCAGAGAAAAUGGAGUACAAGAACUUCGUCUUGAUUCAUUCGAGCAAAAACUAAAUGACCAAUAUAAUAGGCUUCUCAGAACUACAUAAGUUAACUACACAUCACCAGAAUCUCAUCCAUUUAUGGCAAAACACCAAACUUCCACAAAAGUCAGUAAUUCAUGAAAUUUCUUAUAAUAGUACUUUUUGCAAAGGUAGGACAGCAUCAUGUAUUUAAGUAAAAUUUACUUCAGUUACAGAAGAAAUGAAGACCAAUAAUUGAACUAAAGCAAAAGGUGAGCUUAAAUGAGAAAAACAAGCUCAUUCAGGCUUUCAGCUGAAAGCAAAACUAAUCAGAAUACGAAGCCGAAACACUUAUAGAACUAACACCUUACAUGGGAACAAUGUCUAGGUCCAAAUUUGUUGGUUUUUUGGGGCAUGAACUAAGAAACAACACCUUAGUGUUGCAAAAAAAGCUUAUAAGAGACUUGUAUUGAAGGUGGAAAAUGAGCAUCUUGUUCUACAUUCAUCAACUCACUAUUUAUAGUGAUUACAUGAAACAAACUAGCAAAAUAUCCCACUAACAAUUAUCCUAGAAAUCUCAACAAAAUAUAAUCUCCUUCUACUAGCAAAUCUUAUCAAAAAUAUCUGUUAACAAACCAACAUGAUCUUUUGUUAAUAAAUAUCCUUAUUUUUCUAAUAACUAAACUAUUUUGAUAUUAAACAUAAUCUAGCAAAAUAUGUAGAAAAAGUUGCAUAUCCCAACACUCCUCAUUGCCACUUUUGCUGCAGAUUUUGAAUUGUCUUCUCAAAUCUUUGAAUCUUGUUUUGGAUGAGACUUUUGUAAGAAGCUCUGCAAUUGAUGAUUAGCUUUGCAAUGAACUUCUUCUUUUGUCUUCUCAUGCCAAACUCCACAUAAAAGAUGAUUUUUUUUUAAUGUUUCCAAAUAACCUUCUCAUAGGUUUAAAGUGGAACAUCCUUUGACGACAUUUGAACCUAUACAGAAAAUAUGAAAUUCUGCAUGGUUCUUCAUUUUGCCAUCACCAUCAAAAUCUGUAGACCAAAAACAGAAAUGUUAUAAUCUUGAUAAAUAUCAGGAAUCAAUCUGAUAUCUCCUGACUUAUCAAUGAUCUCCUCCUGAAUUUUUCAGGAUCUGAAUUCUUGAUUUCAUCAUCAUGUUCCACUUUAGAAUUGUCAAAAUCUGACCAAUUCAUAGUGAAACUUCUCCUUUCUAUUUUAAUUGAGAAUAAUUUAUUCUCAAUCAAAUCAUCAGCCAUUAUCUUUGUGAAAACGGCAUCAAAAACUGAUAUGUGAAUGCUGGCCUUGGAUCUCUGUAUAACUGCAACUCUGUGGUCUCUAAUUUGUGUAUUCAUCAGCUCUUCAAAUACUGAUGAAACAAAAAUCGUCUCUACCAUAUCUCGUAGAUCAUUGACUACCAAAUAAGUCCAAAAUUUUAUGGCCCAAAUUUGGUAAAUUUCACCCCUAAAAGUUGAAACAUUUGACAAAAAGUUCUUUCCUGUCAUGGCUUGAACUUAUAAUGGAUCCUCACCAAUGCAUCACUCUCAAAAAAAACUCAGGCCCUUAAGAUAUAGGCUCUUGAUACCACUUUGUUGGUUUUUUGGGGCAUGAACUAAGAAACAACACCUUAGUGUUGCAAAAAAAGCUUAUAAGAGACUUGUAUUGAAGGUGGAAAAUGAGCAUCUUGUUCUACAUUCAUCAACUCACUAUUUAUAGUGAUUACAUGAAACAAACUAGCAAAAUAUCCCACUAACAAUUAUCCUAGAAAUCUCAACAAAAUAUAAUCUCCUUCUACUAGCAAAUCUUAUCAAAAAUAUCUGUUAACAAACCAACAUGAUCUUUUGUUAACAAAUAUCCUUAUUUUUCUAAUAACUAAACUAUUUUGAUAUUAAACAUAAUCUAGCAAAAUAUGUAGAAAAAGUUGCAUAUCCCAACAAUUUCAUCUGUUCCUAAAAUUGCUAAUCUUAUGGAAGAUAAAUUCUAACGUCUAACUUUCAAAGAACAAUACAAGACCAACGAAACAUAGGCAACUAAUUGGCGCUGACCUCAAAAAAAUUUAAAAAAAAUACCAACUGUUAUAAAUAGGUUGGGCUCCCUGAAUUGCAAAUUGAAAUAAAUGACAGCCACUAGUAGACCCCUAGCAAUUGAAACAGAGAAGAAUACCCUCAAUUAAAUGUCAUUAAUUAUUCAAACAAGCAAGAUUUUCAAUUACCAGCCAGUGAUCCAGGAUGCAAAGGGUGCCCAACUAGGGCCAGCAAGCUUAGCACUCCAAUAAUAGAGUCCUCCAGAAGUAGGAUAAGAAGAACAUAUCUCAGCCAUGGAUAAUCCCACAACCAUAGUAAAACAACCAGCAAUUAUCCAUCCAUACACCAAAGAAACAGGCCCACCAAAAUUCAACCCCGUAUUAUACAGUGUAGUCACACCAGUCAACACUGAUAUAAUUGAAAAUGAAAAUGCAAAAUUCGAAAAAACCCUGCACCAAAAAAUCCCAAAAAAAAAAAAACACAAGAACCAAAACAAAAAAUAUCAAAUACCCACAUCAGAAAUCAGAUAAAAAACAAUAUUCCGAAUGAGUUAUGGAUUGAAUAAUUACGAGAGGUCUCGCUUGAGUUCUUGCUUGUAUCCUAGCUCAUGCAAGCGUUCAUGGCCUGAAUCAAUGGAUGAUGUGCCAUUGCUUUGUUGAACACGUUGUGGAAGCACUUCGCUCUUCUCUUCACGAUUCCACGCCAUUUUUUUGAAAUUCAAGUGAUCAAAGAGAGAGAUGAGGGAGGUGUGUACUCUUAUUCAAGAUAUGAAACCUUGAAUUGUGGUUUAGUUAUCAAUACACACCCUUUUAUCUCUCUCUUUCUGUCUGAGUAGCUGAGAGUUUUCUUGAGAACUUCCAGCUACUGUUUGUUCAUGGAAAUGAUGAUGGAUUUAAUAUAGAUUCCGUGAGAGGAAUAUUACCGUGCUUUUUCCUCUGCGGACACGUUUCGGAAUCUUUAAUGAGUCUGUUGGGGGUAAUUAUUUUGGUGGAGGAAGCAAAUGUGAUGGUCAACCAAAGCUGUGGGAAAGUCAAAGAGAGAACUGUGGUUAGGUGGGUUGCCUUUUCUUUAUUAAUUUAUUUUCUUGAUUUUGUGAUAUUUUUUUUUCAGAUUUAUGGGAAAGAGAAAUAAAGGAAUCUCUUAUUGAGAUGGGCACUUUAAAAAAUUGGCUUUUGCUCAGCCUACCAAAGAUUACGUAAUCGUACCAUCUCUUAGGCCAUCCUAAGGACAAUUGAUCGAUUUGUACAUUGCAAUUUGAUAGUGACUAAUUUGGGGGUGCGGUCCCGGGAUGCGAAGGAGGGCCGGGGGGGGGGGGGGGGGGAAGGGAUAUGUAAGGACAAUAGAUAUUUUAUUGGGUUACAGCAAAUUUAAUUUUAUUUAUAAAAAUUUUAUUCAUAUCAUAUAAAAAAGUGAUUAAAAAUAUAUUUACGAAGAACGUAAUAAUUUUUUUUGUCCAAAAAAACUACAAUUGAAGUUAGUUAUCAUUUCUCUUGCAAUUGUUGACUUAAUUAUUCUAAACAAUUUGAAUUUUAAAAGCUUGAAAUGUUGAUGAGAUUAUACCAUAUCUCUUAUAUGAAUGACAACGGGUACCGACGACAUAUUUUUCUUCCUGACAUGAUAAGAUUUUCAGGGGAAAAAAAGGUUUUCUCACCUCAUUUUACUUCAUAAGAUCUAAACUAAAAUCUUAAAUUAAAUACAAAAGAAACGAGUCAAGAAGAAACAUGUGAACACCGUGUAGUCAUUUUGAGAAGAAGAAAACAAAACAAAUAGCGAGAAGAACAAAAGGAGGAGAAAAGACAAAUUUGUGUAGCUCAUCCUGAAUGCUAAAUUUAUGUGACAAAAGAAGCAAGGAACAAAUAGAGUUCAUAUCAUAGUAUUGUUAGUCUUUUUUUUUUUUUUUUUUUUUUUCGACAUGAUAACUUUUAAUUUAGACAUACUCCUAUGUUACAACAAGGGAAAGGAAUGGAUUCAAAAGAAUCGAUGAAAAAUUCAGAGGAGACUAAACCGCUAUCGAAUCAGAAGGAUGUCAUUGCACCCGCUGAUAAAUUUUUUCGGAAAAUCCUGCAGAAGAAUGCAAGUCAAGAAAUUUGAUCUCUUGAUCUACAUCCAAUAAAAGCUUUAAACCGCUUCCAAGUCAAGAAAUUUGAUCUCUUGAUCUACAUCCAAUAAAAGCUUUAAACCGCUUCCAAUGGCCAACUACUCUACAGAUAGUUGGUAUAGUUGUUGUUAGUCUUUUUUUUUCCGACAACUAAGACCAACCACAUAUUGUAGCCAAAUUGUGGGAGACAGGGGUUGAUCCCCUGACCUCCAGCAUCACCAUUAUGGUGAUGACCACUGGACCAAAUGGCCAGUGGCUAUAGUCGUUGUUAGUCGAUUCUCUUCUUUUCAAUGUUCAAAGCAAAGUUAAAAUUGUCGAAGACUUGAGAGCCGUUUAGGUUUUAUGGCCGGAACUGGGCAGCAGAGUGAUUUGCAUUACAAUUUUUGCAUGUGAACAAAUCAACUGAGAAUCUAAUAUUCAAAUGGGAAAAGAUGAAGAACCAAAGAAUGCGGCUACUGCAUCUCACGUGCGAAAAUGUGGCCUCCAAGAAAUCCAGUAAAUGGCUUGAUUGUGUUUGGAUAGGUAUUACUAUUGAGUAAAUCUUAAAUUCAAAUGAGUUGUCAAUAUAUUCAUAGUGAUUGUGUAUAUACUGUUAUUGUAUAAAUGAUUAAUUUAUUGUUAAUUUUUAAGAAAUUAUUUGCUUACGUCACAAAUAUAUUUUUUAAUACACAUUUUGAUUUUUUCAAUUAUCUUUUAUUUUGCAUAUAUCACAUCACGAAAAGUGUUACAAUAAUUAUUUCAAAUAGUAUUUCAAAUUUGUCAUUUGUUGCAAUAAACUAGGUACUCCAGAAAAUAUUCCCAAAAAAAAUAAUAACAUAGAAUGAGCAAACGUGCAAGUAUUUUUUUGCCCAAAUUCAUUUCAAAUUUCAUACAUAUAAAAUUAUCUUUAUGUUGUUAGUCAUGAAAAUAAAAUGGAAAGGGUUAAAUCCUAAAUAUGUUUUCUACCUUUCAUUUUUUUCUUAAAGAAACGUUAAGAACCUAACAUCAUGCAUGUCGAUACGUACAAUUUCUUUUUUUUUUUUUGUUAAUUAGUUUUUUGGAUUAAAUUCCAUUCUUUUGGAGCAAGGUGUUUCAAUAUUUUGACUAAGCUGAAAAGCAAAUAUAGAUUCACUAUUUUUUUUUAUUCUUAUAAAAGUGCAAGAUAAUAUUAGUGCCAUGAUCUCAAAUCGCAAUCGGACCAAGGCAACCCAUCAUAUCCAAUGUUGUUGCUAAUCAUUAUGGUCCGUAAACAGACUGAAAUAUUGCGAAAACAGCACCGACUAAUUUGAACCGAAAAAUGAUUGGAGAAUUGUCCAUUGUACAAGAAAACAAUCCUUCUAAUUGGUAUUAUUGCAUCUAAAGUCUACAAACGCAGUUUUACUUGAAUUAAUUGGUGAUGGCGUAACUAAACGAUUAGCUAGCUGAUUAUUUCAAGUUAUACAUCAGCUCUUUUUUUUUUUUUUCUUCAUUCUUAUUUUGUCUUAUUAAUGGGGCUUGUUAUGGGUCAAGUAAUGUGGACAAAAUAUCAUUUAUUUUGGGUAGAAAAAUUGUCAGAAUUCAAUCCACUUCAAUUCGGAAAGCGAUCUUGCUCAAACAGUUUAUGAAGUUGAAUUUCUUUCUCUAAAUAUUUUAUCUAGACAAGGACGAAAAAAUGGAUCAAAUUACUUGAUAUUUGAAACGAACUUGGUCCUGUUAAAACUAGUUUGAACUUUAUUGUUAAAACUAGUUUGAACUUUAUUUUUCAACUGAUCAAACUAAACACGAACAGUAUUUCGUGUUCGAUAAAGUUUGAAAGUAGACUAUGAACUUAGCUCAAUCAGCUUAAAGAUUGAGACUUGAAAGUUAAGUUUAAAAAGUCAAAACUAAUUGAGCUCAAUGCGAGAUCGGCUUGGUAAAAGCUUGUCAAGAGUUUGGCUCGAUAAAUAAACAACUCAAAUUAAAAUACAAUUUCGAAAUUGUUAAAAUAAACAGAGAGAAUUUGAACAAUGGAGUAUUCUACUUUAUUAGACUUAUUGACAUCUCUAUCUAGCCAUAGUCCUAAAAAAGUUGAAUUCUUUGUGGAAAUAAAUUUGGAGAGAAUUAAUUUCUUGUUAACAGCCAAAGUUCUCUUUCAAUUGAGGCUUAGGGGGGCAAUGAGCGGAUGUGAGUUUGAACACUAGUCUAUUCGAACUCGAUCUUGAAGUAUAUUUGUUUGAGCUUGAGCUCAAGUUUAAGUUUGACAAACCUUCAAUUUCAAAACUCGAGCAUGACUAGUGAGAAGUAUGAAGUGUCUGAGAUCAAGUUCGAAAAGUCACUUGCUCGAGUUCGAGUGAUACAAAAUGUAAUUUGUUAUAAGAAAAUAGGUUCUGUUUAUGAGCUUGUUUGCCACUGCUAAUAAAAUAGCCAUUGCUUUCAACACUUGGAUUCGAACUUUUAGGUGAACUUUACCUAGGGCCCGAGGUACAUGAAAAUCAAUUCGAAUAUGGGCCCAAUAGCAGCAGAUAUACUCGUUGAUAC